GUGCAAUAACCCGAUGACCAAUCGGGAAGCGAGCUGAACGAAGCAGGAAGCGUGACAAAUGCAACAGUAGCUACGAUAGUUAACGCGAAGCGCGAGCUGAGGUGGACGUCGGAAAGACAGAAGGUGAAACGCGAAAGUUCACACAUUGUAUUAGGUAAAAGAAGUCGCAACCACAAUGACAAGCGGAGGGGAUUGAAAGAAAUCGCUACUCUAAUAGACGUACUGGGAACCCAAGCAGCUAGCAACAGUUAGCUCCCGUAGUCCGACUUGUUUCCUCCAUUAGAAUCACUUUUAAAAGUUUUCAUGACUCGGGACUCCGGCUGCUACUCUACAGGACCAAAACCGCCAAAUCCUGUCAUCACUCGCCCUCAUGUGUGGAGUUUCUGACGUUUUCAAGAUCGGCCUAGAUCAUAAAAAUCUUGUAGUGUGUGCCACAUUUACGCGAACACCUCAGCGACGAUCAAAAGGCGCAGUUUGAGGCACAGCCAGCCUGCCUUUCUCCUCCAGCAGCUGCUCUGACGAUAUCUUCUCCAUGAUCAGUAUACAGGAUUCUUGGAAUGACAAGUUUUGGAGUUCUUCAUUUUCCUCAUUAAAGGAGCAAUUUCGUGAGAGCGUUACACAGACACUUUUUUGUGUGAACUGCAUUUAGAUGCUGAAUGUUGUUUUGAACGGAUAAAGUGAUUGAAAAACAUUCUCAUUGAACUUUGAAGUGCAAUGCUUCACACUCACUUAAGGCCCAGAAAACGCAGCUGGCUCUCAGAGACGUUAUUUACCUGGAAGUGCUAUAAUGACUGGAACCAUACUUGAUGCCUGCAGCUGUUUUACUGGUGAGCAAAUAUCUCCUUCUCUAAAUGUUCAACCACGAGAGAUGAUGUUGUGCUUGAGAUUAAUUCAUACAUUAAAAACAGUUGGCCUACAUGUAGUGAUCAUCUGUUGUAGGCCUGUUUUUGAUUUGUUAAUCUUUGCUUCAGAGUGCGGCUUGUUUUGAGAUUUGUGUGAUGUGUGAAAGCUUAAUUUCAUAUUCAAUUUAGUUAGUUCUAGUUUGGUAUCAGUAUUCUUGCCUCCAGCCUCGAGGCCUGUCUAAAAUCCCAUGCUGCUUGUGUGAAUUUUCAGUGUCAGAGCCAGAAUAAGUCACUGGCAAAGUUGUGUUUUUUAAAGUGUGGUGGUGGCAGCUUUGACUUCAAAGCCCCUAAAAUAGGAAUAAUAAUAAAGUGGGAUCCAAUUUGUUGCAGGAACUCGCAAAAUGCGAAGGAAGUUUGAUAAUUUUUUAUGUCUUUGGUGUUUUAAUUGACUAAACUUUUGGUGUUUUUAACAAUGCACUGUCACCAAACUUUAGCAGGACAUGGUUGUGUUGUUGAAAGAUUUCUAACUUUUCCUUGAAUUAUUUUCUUCAUUUUCCCUGAAUGAGUCAAUUAAUUCCAUUAAAGCAGCACAGAGUCUAGCGAGACUUUCAUUUCACCAGACAUGCUGCUGAGAUGAAAAUCCUUAUUUACUCCAUUUUCUGUGCUGUUAUCCCUCGGCUGCUCUUAUUCUUGUGCACAGUCUGUAAGCUGGUGCAGAUUAGUUGAGUUAUUCAUUACAGAGGGUGUCUGUUGUCGAUUGCAGAGCUUAUCCACUGUGAUUAAUGCUGGGUUUGUGUAACUAUCAAAGAAAACAAAGACUGGUCUUUUAAAGGGUCUUCUCCACUAAGGGAUACAUUGAAAAGAUAUACUUACAAUGUGUUACAUGCUGUGUGUUUUCCUGGUAAUGUUCUGUUCAUGAAUAGAUGAAGCUGCUGACGUCCCUGCUUUAUUACACGUUUCUGUUACUGCAGCUGCAUCCUCUCAAGAGAAACUGAAUAAUUCCAGUUUGUUUUUUCCCCCUCAGCUAUUAGCUGUCAUGGUCAAUAAGUGGUAUUGUUUAAAUUUAAAAAUGUGGUUGUCAUAACGACCCUUAACAUGAUUAAUUUGGAGGGACCUGUACAUUGAAUGUGUUACUUGGACAUGAAAGAUUUGUCAGUAUAUUGAUUUUUUGUGUGUGUUUGUGUAAAGCAAUGCAAGUCAACCGAGCCUGUUGAGAUUGUUUUGGUGUCUUCUGCCAAUUCCGGUUUGAUUUAUUCAUUGUUGAUACCAAAUAUUAUACAGGAGAAGUCAGCUGAUCUCAGGUAUGUGUAAAUUUGAAGUAACCUGGGAUUUGCCACUGUUAAAUUCCUCUUUACUGUGACAAGGAUACAUCACAAGUCAUUCUCUUCUACAUUGUGUGUGCUUGUCAACAUCGCCACUCACACUGGUAUGUGCACACUCAUGAAUACGCUCAUAUAUAUGCAAGUGAAGCCACUGCACUGUUGCAACUCAGUUUUAGUAUUGGAUGUGGGCAAUUCCCCGAGGCAAGGAUCUGCUCUCCACCCAAACAAUGAGGUGCAGCUUUUGCUCUCGCGGUGAACGAGGGGAAGCAAGCCCAUUCAGGAGGUCAGCUCCGAGCUGUUGACAUUGCUCCCUGGUUGCCUGUAGUCCUGGGCAGAGCCUCAUUAUCACAGGGUCUGCUUGGAAGAGAGUGGGCUUCGUUAGGAAGCAGCUGUCAGUGCUGAGGGGCGAAAGCAAAGGGAAACAGCAGAGAAAGUAGAACCUACUCUGCAGUCCAUUUGCAGUGGUGCUCAAGGGCCAGUUGGCCACAGUUGUAUAGUCUGCUUUUGUGUGUGUUUGCACAGUGUGAUUCUUACCUGUGGGUGUGUAUAAGUGUGUGUGAGGGUUGAGAGAGUCAUAUCACCUGUAUGGCAGUGUUUUCACUUAUUAUUAUUUAUCCUACGGUAUUUUAUUUCCAUCAGGAUUUUUCUAAUCUAGUCAAUUUAAUGCAAAUUUAAAAGUUGCUAUCAAUUUCUUGAAAAAAGUGCACAACAGAUGUUGAAAAAUUGUGAAACUUGCUAUCUCUUAUAGACAUGGACAGAAAGGCUCAUGACAUAAAUCUGGCGUCAUCUUGUUACAAAAAUAAAUCAGUUAUAAAAGCAACAUAUUGUUGGUCCCCACAGACAACAAAACUUGACAUGUCUUAAGUAACAAAUGUGGUUAAAUUCUUGAUUGGAACUUGAAGCUUCAUCAUCUGUGGGUAUUUUAAAACAUUUAUUUCAUGAAACAAAGUUAUUCCAAGCUGCUUGAGCUGGCAAGCUCAGUAGAAAAGGGGAAAGGAAAUAUCUUUCAUUCUUAGCAAGGGCUAGCAAGGGCUAAGAAUGAAAAAUAAUUUCGAAUGCAGUGAGCCAUUUAUCAUGCAUUAUGGGAAACAAGAUGAAAUGUAUAGUGGAGGUCUGCAGCAUGUGUCAGGUUUCAUGUCUGUCACACUCGAUCAGUGACCGCAGCUAAUGAGAUGCUACAUGCUGCCUGGGACUGGAGCUGGAAAACUGCUGUUCUGGUGCACAUUAGAAUCUGGGGAAUUCCAAAAAUCCAGCAUCUGGUGAAAAACACAGCAACCCUCUAUGGCACAGUGGUCAUUAACUUCUGGGAUUUACAGUGAUACGAUACCCUGUUGAGAAAAAGUUUUCACGGUGAUGAAAACAGUCCUUCAAACUUGACCAAUUUUCUGCCAAGCAGAGGCAACACAAGUCAGGAAAAGAAGCUUCCAAUGCCUUCCCAUUUAAUAGCUACAAAGAUAUGAAAUGUUGAUCUACAGAUGUUAAUACUACAGCUGAGCAGAUUAAGGUAUAGAUCAGCGGGUUGUUGAAAGGUAGAUGGAUUGAUAUGGUGAUGCUUGGGAAUAGUUUAGGCAUGACGUAUUAGAUUUCCAUGUUUGAACAGUUAAAGUGAUUAAAUCACGUUUGAGAGACUUGUGUAGGAAUUCAAUUGUAGAGAGAAAAAUGGACAUGAAACGAGUGAAUAUGUUAAAAAUGUCUCUGAAAUUAUAAGACUAAAACUCCAAAUCUAAAAGUUUAUUAAAAAAAACAGCUGUCACAUUAUUAUGGCAAAAAGAAAUUCAGUUUCAACAAUUUAAAGUUUGUGUGGAAACAUAAAAAUUACAAAAACCAUCAAGUCUAAAGAGAUGAGGGAAAACUCUCGGACUGCUAAUUUGGUGGAAUAAAGGGACGCACAGACGUCAUGAAGCCAUAUACAAUUUUAUUUAGCUGUCUCAUAUUUCAGUUGUACAAAUGAACUACCCUUUUAUAUAACACUCUUUUAGGCAUGUUUUCCCAAAGGGCCAAAAGUACCAAAAAUAGCAUUAUAUUUCCUCUGCACAAUCCCACAGAGGAUCAGACACUCAUGUCAAACGCUAUCUCCUUUUCAUGCAGAACCACCUUGACAUUAACUUUUGUACUUCAGAGCGAUGAGGGUUAGGGUUAGCUCAGUUGAGAGCUUAGAUAGUAAUAUAUUUUGAUAGCUCUAAGGGUAGUGAUUUAGGUCCCUUUGAAAUUUAAUGGGUCCCCAAUUCGUUUUUCAUUUCAGGAAAUUGACAUUAUAUGCUUGAGAUGGCUUAUAACCAUGAGAUAUAUUCAGAGGGCUUCAAAAGUACUUAAUAAUUAUAAUAAAAACAUCAUAUUCUUACACAAUAAAACCAAUAUGUUUUUUCUGCUGCAUUUUUGAAACAUUUUUUAUAUGUCUAUAUUCAUAUUUGGAGGAUAUUACUGAAUGUGCAGCCCAAGCGUCUGCAGCAAAAUGCAGGAAUGAAGUGAAACAGUUCAUAUCAGAUGAUCCAGAGCCUCAUCACACAGAAGUGAGCUCUGUAAGCAUAUGCAGCAGAGUUUGAUCUGUCAGUCACAUUGACUGAAAGCCAGUUGGGGUGACUUGAGAAGACUGUCACAGCUCUAGCCCUUUUUGAAGGGUUGACAAAGGCGGUGGGCACCUCAUCUGCAUCUGAAUUUGAUGUCAGGGUCCUAAAACAUUUUCUGUCCAGACAAAGAGGCUUACUCAUCUACUAACCUGUAGACUUUUAAGUGGGUCAGAAUGAACAGGUGAGGUCAUUGAUUUUCAAGCUACUCCUUCAGAAAUGUAAGUACCUUAAUUUUUACCUCAAAAUAUAUUAGAUAUUAUUAAAUUCAAGUAUUUCAACACACUUCACGUGGGUGCAUGCCAUUCAUGACUUUGCAUGGAAAAGUAUACUAUCAGAAAUUUAGCUUACUUCAUAUAAAGCUAGCUCCAGAUGGCCUACUAAGCGAGCUAGCUUUUACUUUCAUACUUAUAAUACUGUAUGCAUUGGAUGUGUGUGUGUGUGUACACCAAUGGAGAAACAUAACAUUAUGACUACUGACAGGUGAGGUGACGGUGGUUGUCUUUUUUUCAGUGUUAUGUGUCAGUGGGUGGGAUGUGUUAGGCAGCUAAUCAAUAGUUUAUGUGUUGGGAGCAGAAAAAUGGACAAGUGUAAGAAUGUGAGCUACACUGACAAAGAGCAAAUUAUGACAGUUAGACGACUGGGUCAGAGCAUCUCCAGAACUGCAGCUCCUGUGGGGUUUUUCCCACUCCACAGUGGUCGGUGCCCAACAGAAGUAGUCCAAAGAAGGAAACUGGUAAACGAGUGAUACGGUCAUGGGCAACUUACCUCAAAAACCUGCAGGAUGCAUGUGCCCUGUAUUCUGUUUUUGCUCACCCAGGCCCACUGGGAGCCUGUCUGAAGCACAGCAGCAGGGGAGCAGAGCCUGGAGCAGCUGGUUUCAGUGUACACACAGACAGGUUACUUUGCCUUUUCGUGGUUGAUUUCCUGCUUGUUUGGAUUCUAUUCUGAGACUCUUGUGCUUCUGCCACUAGUGAGCAUGUAAUGCGGUUCAUGCGUUUGGUUUUUCAACUACGACUGUACCUCCCAGAUUGCGUCGACCGACCCUCAUUUUAAACAACCCGAAUUGGUUGUUUUUGGCUUGUGUACGUUAUUUAUUUUGUAUUAUGAUCUACUAAUUAACUAACUCUUGAAAUUUUACAGUAUAAACUGAAUGAAUCGUUAAACGGUUGGCUUAUAGUAGGAUUUUGUUUUUCUGCUAACGACUUGUGUGUGUGUGUGUGUGUGUGUGUGUGUGUGUGUGUGUGUGUGUGUGUGUGUGUGUGUGUGUGUGUGUGUGUGUGUGUUAUACAGUACUACAAUGGAUUUUGACAUUUUGGCUUUAACAUGGUUCAUGUCAAUCUUAGUUUCUUGUCUAUCAUUACACCAAAAAAUUAGUUUCAAUUUCUUUGUAUCUUAUUUUCUAGUAAAACUUUGCAACUCUAUUUCCAAAAAUUAUGUACAUAGUUUUACCAAAAUUAAGUGAUUAUUUCUUAGCAUCAAACCAUUUUUCUGUUGUUUGUACUCCUUUCUCCAGGGUUCUUUAAGUUUCCGGCCACAGAAAAAAUUGUUGUAUUAUCUUCUGCAAAUAACAUACACUUUACACUUUUGAAACCAAACAUAUAUCCUUGAUAUACAAUGUCAACAACAGUGUUCCAAGAAUCAAACCUUGAGGCACCCCUCAUGUAACCUUCCAAAGCUUUGAAUUGAGUUUUUAACACAGACAUACUGAUACCACUAUGUAGAGCCAAUUAUGGGUCAGUCCUUUGAUACCACACCUUUGUAAUUUAGAUAAUAAUAAUUUAUGGUCAAAAGGGGCAAAUCUUUUUUGUGAAUCAAGAAGUAUAUAUAUUCAUUGUGGUGUUUCUGUUUUCCCUAAAUCCACAUUGUUGUUCACAGAGUAUGUUAUGCUUAAAAAUGUCAUCUUCAGCAAUAAUUAUAAUAACUUUAUUUAUACAGCACUUUACAAAACAGACAAGUGCUACACAACAUUAGUGGGUCAAUAGAAAUGAUUAAAAAUUCAAUAAAGAUAAAACCCCAAAACCCACUCUGAAGCAAAACCCCAAAAAGUUUUUUUAAUUUUUUAAUUUUUUUAAAAUUUUUUUUUAACAAUACAAGUUAAUUUAUAAUGAUAAUAAUAAUGAACUAAAUAUAAUGAAUAUAAAUAAAAAGCCAGUGGAGGGAGGCUAAAACAGAAGUGAUAUGCUCUCUCUGUUUUGUUUUGGUGAGGAGUCUGGCUGAUGCAUUCUGGACUAGCUGUAGUUUAUUUAGGCUCUGCUGUGAAAGACAGGAAUACAGGCAAUUCAGUCAAUGUUUCUUUUAAAUCCAAAAAAUGUCAUAACCAUUCCAGUCUGUUUUUCUUCAGAUAUGUGCACAAUAUAAAUUAUUUAUUUAUCACCUUUUUUUUUUUUUUUUUAAUUAAGACUGAAUGAGUAUUUUUAAUGAUAAUUCUACUGUUGGCUCCAUCAGUAGUACCUGGAGGGAUGAUGGUGUUCGUUAAUUUUUUCCUACAUUGACAAGUUAAUUAAAAUGUUCUGAUAUUUGUUCAUUUUCACUAAUCAUUUUAUUGUUGAGUUAAAGUAAUGUGGUUGGACAGUAUUUCCUUUUUUCUUUUUUAAUGACUUUAUUCAAAACUCUACAAGUAUGUUUAAUAUCAGACCAGUUUUUUUUACUUGCAAUUAAAUAAGUGUGUGGGUUUUUUUAUUUGUUUGUUUGUUUGUUAUGUCUCUUGGUACCUGUUAGUUUGUUUCUAUAUGUCUUACAUCUAUUUUCAGCAUCUUUUGUUCAAAGUCUUAUAAAUUUCUCAUGUAACAUUUUUUAAAGCAUUUUGUUUUCUUUUUUGUUAUCCAUGGCUGAUCUGCAUAUUUAUUUUUAUCCACUUGAAUCACUAGAGGACAAUGUUUGGCAUACAAGUUUGUUAUAAUAGAAAUUAAAUAAGAUUCAUUUACAUUGUUUACAUAAAUUUCACUCCAAUCCUUAUUUAUUCAGGCCUCCCUCAGGAUUGUAAAUGGCAUUUUCUGUUCUGAAUCUCCAGGUUAUUUUUUUCUUCAAAUUCAUUUUUAUGAAAUAAUCAGAAACUACAAACACAGGUAAAUGAUCAUAAGUAUCAAUUAUGAGUAAACCUCCUGCGAUACUCCCUUCAGGAACAUUUGUAAAUAUAUAUUCAUUAAGCGUGGCAGUGUGUACCAUUAUCCUGCUUUUGUCUGUGAUUGAAGGAUACAGCCCUACAAAACAAUAGAUUGGCAAAAUUUAUGUUUGUGAGAUCUAUAUCAACAUCUUCACAGACAAAAAUAGACUUUUUGUAACUGACUUAUGGUAUAUUUCUGACAGUCUAUCCUUGAAUGUAUAAAUGUUGCUACCUUGGACUCUCCAAAUGCAGCUAAAAAUUGUAUUUCUUUAUUCCUCUGAUUUUAUUUCAGCUGUGACACAUUGACAUUUUGUAUGACACAUUUUCAACAAUUUCACCACAGUAAGAUGACUUGAUAUACGGUGUAACACCCCUGCCUCAUGUUAGGCUUGUUCGUAGAGAACACAUUAUAUAUCUCAAUUUGUACCGCAGCAGUUUGCUUCUUAGAAACUGCUGUUACAGAAAAGAUCUUGUUGUGUUUUAACACACAGUUCUACUGUCAAGUGCUUGCACUGCUGAUUCAUGUAGAGAAAAAAAGGAUUGUCUGGAUCGAUGUCAUGUUCAAGGUUAUGAAGUCUGUGAUCUGUGUCAUCUAAAGUUUUUAGACAGAGAUUGUCUGCAGAUGUGAAUGGUUGAAUGGUUUUGUCUUAUUAUCCUUCCUUGGGGGUGCGUGGCAGGUUGAAAUGGUGCUGCUAUAGAUGGCGGUAUCUUUCAAAGCGAAAAACUGCGAUACCUGUUACUUAAGAGAGUGCAUUUCUACUAGUGAUUUGUCUCUGCUACUUCAGCCACAGGCUCCAGCUGUAGCUUUGGUGUAUGAACGGUGCCCGGUGUUAAGUCCACUCGCAAUCACGUCAUCUAUUCUUGUGUACUGUUCCAGUUCAUUCACUCGCUCUUCUAACAAACUGAUUUUCUCACCCUUUUCCACAUGUAAUGUCUUUAGUUCUCACACUUUCCCCAUUAAUCCAAAUAGUUUUGUCUGUUGCUUUGACUCAUAAUAGACAAGUGCAUAUAUGAAAAAAAAACACCUAACCCCAAAAAAGUUUGCCAAAGUUUGACCACUAGAGAGGUGUCAUUUUCAAGAUGGCAUUCAUGAUAGGUAGGAAGCCUGGGGAGACACCCCAGGCAAAAUUUGGUGAAAAAUUGUUUUAAGUGUUGGGGUAGCGUUGGGGUAACAUUGGGGUUAGGGUUAUUGGGUUAGUGUUAAAAUCACUGUCCACGACCUUUAUAGGAGCAUGUUUCUGACCAUUUGGAGUAAAUUGGAACAAAAAAAAUUAGGAAAAAUGUCAAACAUUUUGUAAGUGUUAGGGUUACAUUGGUAUAACGUUAGGGUAUUGGGGUUAGGGGUUAUUGGUUUCAUUGGGGGGUUUUGUACUAAUUGAAUCCAGAUGGAAGGGUUAUGGGGUGAGCGUUAAAAUCACUGUCCACGACCUUUUUAGAAGCAUCUUCCUGACCAUUUUGAGUCAAUUGGUAAAAAAAAAUAUUAGGAAAAUUUACAAAAUUUGUCAAGUUAUAAAUUUGGAAAGUUUCAUGGUGAUAUCUGUUAGUUAAAAUUUUUACACUAUUCACCUGGGGUGUCUCCCCUGGGCUCCCUACCCAUCAUGGACGCCAUCUUGAAAAUGGCACUUUUCUAGUGGUCAAACUAUGGUAAACUUGUUAAUAACUAUGUUAUUAAGGACAUCUAAUACUAUAAAACACAGCUGAGAAACCUUUUGUUAGAACUUUUUUGGGGUCAAGUCAUAUUUGCACCUGACUAAAAGUAAUCUCCACUGACAUGAAGUUUAGAGACUGUUUAAUCUCAUCAUGUUCUCGUUAUUUCCUUGAGUCUUCUCCUGUGACAUUUUAGCAAGAAGUUGAAGAACAAUUUUCGGUAAAUCCAAAAAUCUUCUGUGGCUUCAAGCAGGCUGCUGACUCAUGGAGCAGAAAUGCUGAGUCAUGGAAGCCCACCGCUGUCUGAUGGAUAUUGGUAAAUAGAAAAGUGAAAAGUCUGCAAGAAAAAUAAAGAAUAAGAGGAAGAGGAAUAAAAUCUUGCAGUAGUAACCACCUGUCUAUCAUUUGGACCCAGACAGAUGAUGUCUGACACAUGUUGGUACAGCAUUUUAUAGAUUAGUUUAUCAUGGAGCCUAUAAAUGCAGACAUCACGCUUCUGUUAAUAUGUACAUUUUAGCAUAUUUCAUUCUCAUCUGGAUUCUUCACACAUGCAAAGACUUAAAGCAGGACAAAUGAUGCAUUAAUGGGAGAGGUCAGGAUGAUAUAGGAAGUAAUGAGGAGGACAGGGAAGGAGCCUUGAAGCCAGCAGAAGGGACCUCAUCAGCCUUGGACAAGCAAGAUUUUGGCUCAUAACUAUUUUAUCUUAAGAUCAUCAACCGUGAACACAAAUAUUGAAUAUUAAAGGAGUCAAAGGUGCAGCAGAUUUCAGCAGCAGCUGAGCAGAGGCACACUCAAUCUGUUCCCUUGCUUCUUACAGUCACACUGAUCUCUCAGCUGGCCUUUUCAUCCUUAAUCUCCCCCCUCCAUUUAACUGUGAACACUCAGACCCUCCCUCAAUAGUUUUAAAUCUUACAUUAUUUCCAUACACAUAUUGCAUGGGACUAUGAAUCAAAUAACAAACUAAAGAAACACCCAAAAGCCAAACUUGGAAAAAAGAACUCUGCACCCCUCUGCACCAUGUGCAGAUUGGAUAAAAAAAGAUCUCAAUUUUGAAAUAACCUUUUGAAGUGCCCAGGAAUUUAGUUUUUGUUUAUGUGGUUUUGAAAAUUAUCGAUAUUGUUUGAUUUGCCCUGGGUGUCUUGUCAAAAUUCAAAACUCUGGUAUGUGACAACCGGAUUAUCACCAGUGAAAACCUGUCAGCAGCCUCUUUUUUAGUCAUUCAUCAAAGCUAAGUAAUAUGGGAGCAACCACCCAAAGGUCAGGAGCUCGACAGAAAAAUUAUUGAAUUCAUUGCUCUCAAUAACCAGCCUUACAGGUUGAAGAUGUUGGCUCCCACAGGCUAAUAAUGUACCUGAAGCCUCUCUAUGCCAUGCCUAGCUGACUUUAUUUCUCUCUUGGAGCCUUUCCUGAACUGCAAAGCUUCACCCACCGUCACAUAAAGAAGCUCCUCACUGAUGCUAUUCAUAUUAGCUUCACCACAGACAUCCAGACAUCAAGUACAAGUACUGUCAGCAUGCUGAGCCUUUCUGCCUAGUGGAUUGUUAUACACGCAUACUUUUUGAUGUUAUUUUUCCAUUACUAAAGGUCCUUACACACCGGGAACGACACAAAUAUACGACGUGAAAUUAUUAAAUAUUCAGAGGCGAAUUUAGACGCACCUGACCAUACACAUGAAGUGCGAUGUGAUUUUGCGACUUUCUUGAAAAAAACGCUCCCGGUGUGAAAGGACCUUAAAAGUCUGUAUUUGAAGAUGGAAUCAGGUUAUUUGUCUUGUUUCAAAACAAAUAGGCUGUCACACUAAAAGUAAGAGGAGAAUUAUGAAACAGGAGAGACUUGAUUUUACAUAUAAGGUGUAAAAGUAACAAGCUGCGUGAUACUGGUGAAAAUCCAUGCACCAUUGUGCAUUUCUAGUGUAAUUUGAGUAUCUUGACGAGGUGCUAGAAGGGCUUAAAUCAUUAGUAUUUAUGUGAUGUAAGCGGCGAACACUUUGUACAGUUUGGGUCUAAAUAAAAGUAAGCCAUGCUAGAGAAAAUGCAGCCCCAACCGCAAUAGGUAUGUUAGUCUGAGUACAAGUGCAAUUUCUUACAACCAUGUGUUGCAUGGUGCCUGCAAUGUACAGCAUCAAUAGAAAACACGUAGUAGUUAUUGUAUGUAAAGUAUUACUAUUACUAGGAGUAUCCUGCUGUUUUCAGCUAACCUCAAACAAGUUCUGGGUGCUAAUUUUAUAAAAUAUCAUUCUCACAGGGCCUCCCCAUGAGAUCACAAAUGCAGCUGUGACUUGACUAUUUUCAACCAAAGUAAUCUCUCAGAAGAUGAAAACUGGCUCAGGAAAUAUUCCCUGUUGUUAUAACUCUGAAGGUCCAGUCACUCUGUCACUGAACAACUGCUGCUCAAUCGAUUGGGAUCUUAAAUAGCAAUUUCCAGACACCCCAAUGCUAUUGAUUUCGGUCGGCAAACAUUUUACUUUGAUCAUUAUGAUUCCAAGCUUGCAGCACGCUUCCUGGGUUUCCCUCUCAUGAGAGGCUCACUGUUGCUCUUGAAAUGGCAAUGUAGUGACAGCUGCCACAUCGACUGUGUCAGUCCACACAGGAGAAAAAAACUGAAUUGUAUUUUAGAAAAGUAAGUACACAAACUUAACAUCCACAAGAAGUAGCAUUCAAGGGACCUUUUUCUUUGUUUGAAAGAUUACUCUAAACCUUGUUUUCAAACUUUUUUUUAACGCGCUUCAAAACUUGUUGCCAGCUUGAGCCAGUUUUUCUUCCUCUUCCCUCUCCUGUAAAUGGUUCAUUAGUUUCCCAUGCACCCGUUGGUUAGCCUCAUUGUUCAGCAAACCAAUAUUAUCUGAUAAGACGAAGCACACAGAAGGAGCUCUAGAGACUAAUUAGAAGUCCUCAAACUUGAAAAUCUGUUCAAAGUCUUGUUGUUGCCAACACACAGAGGCAGUGACCCGGGGUCUCAUUUAAUGUUUCUAAGUAUCUAUUAAUGUUCCUUUGGUUAUGUUUAGAGCUAGGGGAGGCUCGGGAGCAGGAACUGAUGGAUGAGAAACAUUAGACGCCCGGCAGGCACUGAACUCUAAUAUAAUGCAGUCAUAUGGCUAUUUUUUUCUUUGGUGUACUUCAUUACAUUUGUCUUUGGUGGAAUAUGUUUCUGCUUAAAUAAUUUAUUUUUCCCUUUCUGCUAGGUUUCUCUCAAAAAAUCAAUCAGUGGCUGUCUUCCCAGAGAUAAGCAUGUCUUAUUAAUGUAAGAUCUUUAUCGUGCCAGGAGGACCACCAGCACUGCUGUUAAGUCUGCUGAUAAUUGACAUUUUCUCUUGAUGGGGGUAUUUAUCAUUCUCCUAUUGUCCAUGGGAGGCUCCACUUUGACCAUACCCAUACAAUUGUCUGAAAAGACGCUGAGAUCCUGUAUUUCAUACCCAGUAUGUCAUGCAGUAUUCAUGUUUCCUCAUGAGAGAAAAGAGUUUGUUUCUUAAGAGAGAAAGACAGGAUUUCCAUUGCAAAGCACAGCAUUGAGCAGAAUAAUACAGGCUGAGUGUGAGCUUUUGAAAAGGUGAUAUGCACAAAGUGACCUUUAAGUCUCACACUGUGAAUGACUUGGGAGAUGCCUUUUAGCCACACUUGAAGUACACACAGCAAUGCGUCCCAUAUCACUCCUCCAGAGGACACUAGAUAUUGGUUGACAUCCACUGCAGGCAACAGUGGUAAUGGCACACAAUACAUAACACUGAUAGAGCAAUGUCACUCUAACUACUGCAAUUUGUAUUUAUGGCAUAUAACUGAAAGAUGAGGGGCUCGAAUUGCAUUAUUCUUAGUAAACUUAACGGAGACUAUUUAGUUUUACUUUGGAAAAAAAUGUGUAUCAUAACCAAAGCUCUAUCUCUGCAGCUUAAUACAAGCUAUUGACGCUGACUCAAAACCACUGGGUUAGUUUUAAGCACUCAUAACUUUGAUUUAGUUAUGUUGCUAUUAACUUUUUAAGAGACAAAAAACUUUCUGUACAAAUUGGCGUCAUAAUAAGUCCACAUUGUCAGCUCUCAGAAAGGAAGGAAUGAAUAAGAGAAGCAUUUGAGAAAACAGCAUUAUAUUGUUGAUGCUAAACAAAUUCAAGACAUAUGCCAGCCAAGUCAUUAAUUUCACAUUGUUUGGCAGCCAUUGUCAAUGGCACAUGAUAUUAGAUGCAUCAAAACCAAAUGAAAAGGAGUACUGUUAGAUGUGAUACAUUACCAAAAUAAGUCCUAUCAGAAAAAUGCAUUUUGAAUGAGAUCACUGUAACUGCUUUUGUCACACUUCAUUUCAUCCUCAUUUGUCAACACCAGCAUCAGAUGUUGGGAGAUGUACAUGGCUUAAUGGAGGCGAAGUGCCAACUAGCAAAGUUUGAAUUCUGUCUGAUAGGGCUCUGUGCUUCCCACAGCUUCAGGCUCUGAAACGUGUCAUGAUACAGGGGCCACAAAACGUAUCACGAUACACACUGAUUUUAGGCGGUGACCAUGUCCCACGUAAUUUACUACAACAGCCGUCUUUUUUUAAAUUUAUUUAUUUUUAUUACUCUGAAUAACCGUAAUAGUAAACAUAGUUCAAUGGAGCCUAUAAUGUAACUCUAAAACAGGGGUGUCAAAGUCAAAUGGACGGAGGGCCAAAUAAAAAAUUUAGCUACAAGCCGAGGGCCGGACUGAUCGAAUGUUCAUUGAAAAUUUUUUAAAUGACGCAUAUAGUCUAGUGUACCUAAUUGAACCUACUGAAAACCUAACAAAUAUAUUCCAAUAUGAUCAGAUAAAUAAAGCAAUAUUUUCUUAUGGCUCUGUCAGUAAUCUUUAAUUUUCAACAGACACAAAAGACAAAUUUCCUUUAUAUAAAAAUCCCCAUAACAUGAACAUUAAAUGAAAGAAACCGGUAUUAUUCAAGGCACCAUGAGUAGCCUAUAUUUUCUAUUUUAGCAAAAGUGGGCUAAAUUUACUUCAAAGAAAAAAAUAAUAAUAGCAAUUUUCUAUCAUCCACUCAACUGACAUAUUUUUAAAAUAUAAUUGGAUUGAAAUACAAUAAAAUAAAGUGCAAAAAUCUAUUAAUCAAAAGCAACACUUUCUUCAAGGAGAAGUAACAUGCAGUGAAAACAAAUAUUAAACUUUAACUUUUAAACUUGAAAUGAAUAAAAAUUCUAAAUAUGUGAUUGCACAGUAAUGUUCACUUAUUUGAGGUUGAGGGUCCAUAUGUCCAUAUUCUUGUUUUUGUCCGCGUGUUUCGUUUCAUAAUGUCGUCUCAGAUUAUACUCUUUCAGUACCGCCACACUUUCUCCACACAGAAGACACACAGGUUUUCCAGCUACCUCCGUGAACAUAUACUCCGACUCCCACCUUGUUUGAAACCCCCGGUUCUCAGUGUCCACCUUCCGUUUUGCCAUUUUUGAUGGGUAUCUGAAAGUUAAUUUUACUGUUAUGCUGACGACCGCUGUGCUAAUAAAUAUUGAAAUGAAGCAGCCUACUGCUUAGUGCGUCACCGUUGCAUUGUGGGAAAUGUAGUAUUGGUGCGUGUAAAAGAUCUGCGGGCUACCGGCUUGCUGCGGUCUGCGGGCCGGUUCUAAUAAUAGAUCGAGAUCAUCCCAGGGGCCGUAAAAAACCUUCUCACGGGCCGGAUGUGGCCCGCGGGCCUUGACUCUGACAUAUGUGCUCUAAAAAAUACAAAGAAUUAAUCUAAAUAGUAGCAAGUGUGACGUUUUAAUUGGACCUGUAUUCAAUUCCUAAACUAGCCUUUUUCAGUGGGAUCACCUUGACCCCCUAGAUGUCGGCACUUGUUCAAACUUAGAAUAGCAACAAGAGAAAUUAAUGGAUUGAAUGGAAAAUGUUGCUCUUUAAUCAGUGCUUGUGAAUUUUUAAAGCGACACUACUCUUAAUGUGAUUUCAUAACAUCUAGAGCACACGUUUGUUUUACAAUAGAGCAUUCAUGUAGACUUUCCUUGUAACGUAUUGAAAGAGUAGGGAUGUAGGGAGAUAUAUAUUAUUUAUGAUACUUUGAUUGUAGAUGGCUGUAAUUCUCUUUUCAGAUGGAUACACACACACACACACACACACACACACACACACACACACACACACACUUUGUCCAGUGUUUUACAUCCUCAUACAACUAACAUGCUGCUGUUUCAGUAAUGAUCUGAUAAUCACACUAAGUAAGAAGCAGCCUGAAGCUGUCAUUAUUGACAGUGCUGUAAGGGUGUAAGUCUUUACAUAUAGAGCAUAAAGCAUGAGGAAGCUUUGUGAUUGUAAUCCUCUAAACCUGUUUAGAAGUUGAAGGAAAUGUUGUGAUGAAAGCUUAGUUCAUUGCUUAUUUAGACAGCAGACACUGGCCCUGUGUGGCAGCCGGUGUACCUGUUGCUUGACUCAUGCUUAACUUUCUUGUGUUAGUAAAUCUCCCAAAUUAUCCCAUAUCCCUCCAUAUUAUUUGUUUAUAUUGGUUUGAGACAUUCACUGCAUCAUGUGGUUUGGCUGCUGUUUCCACCUUUAACUUUUUUGCUCUGCACUGUAGGCUAACCACUCUCAAAACUGCCACCACAGUGUUCCUGCUGCUUUGAUUCUGUAACUUGCACGAUGCACAGCAAGUUGACAUAUUGUUGUAUAGAUUUUUUUUUACCCUGCCUUGCUGUCUGAGUGAAUACGGGUUAGUUCUUUUUUUUUAUGGCAGGUUGUUGAACACAGCAUGGUUAACUUCCUUUUGGUCACAAUUUUGGCUCAGCCAAAACCAAAGAUAUGGUGAUUAAAAACAGUCUGUAACACCUUUUUGGCUCUCUCCCUGCAAUCCAAUUUAGGAGUGUGUGAUUUUCACCCAAAUUAUUUCAUAAAGGCCUGCAUAAAUUAAUGUUCCAGCAUCACCAUUGCACUACAACUUUAUGGCACUAGGUACAAAAGAAAAAGUUGCAAAGUUCUAAAAUCAUGGCAAAAUCUGUCAAAUGCCCUCUAUUUUGAUUUUCAUAGAGAACCUGUCUUGUUUAUGCUUUAUUGAGAUGUAAAAAUGGGAUAAUUCCCUGGGGCAUUUGGUGCUUAAGAUCUCGCUUUUUUAAAUUUUCUGUUUUACGACACCUAAUUGCAGUGCAGUCUUAUUUAAUGUCCAUACUGCAUUGUCCAACAGCCAUGAGUGUUGUCAUGACACCAUUUAAGAGUUGAAAAGACUUACUUCUUUGUGAUAUACUGCAUAACGUUAUUAACUGCACUUGUAUGAUACAAAAUAUACAACGAUUCAGCAUAAGUGAGCUUGUUUGUUUCUGCCUGCCACAUCACUACUCAAGGCUGUGUAAUUCAUGCAAGCAGUAAAACUUUAUUAUAUGCUAUUAAUUGAUUAUAAUAAAAAGCUAGAGCCAGCUAUUUGCCUGCACAUAGAUCAUAUGCUCAACAUCUGGCCUUCAUUGGCCUAAUUAUUGCAAGUAAUGAGAUGCUAAUUUCAGCACUCAUACUGCAUGCAUGAACUGCAAGAUUCAUGUGAAACAGAGCUUUAUGACAAAACUAAUAAAUAAAACAUCUUACUGGUGGUAAACAUUAAGCAAGAGAGGGAAAGAAAACAAAAUGGGGAGGAACACAGGGCAAGAUGAUUAACAGUUCUUUUACAUAAUCAUGCCUGUUCCUGAAGGAUGGUUUCUUUUGCCCCAGUGUUCACUGGUUUAUGAGGAGAGUGAUGGGCCAUUUCAUUACCUCAGCAGUAAAUAAUGCGCAAAAUUAAGCAGCCUUUGAUCAAUUGUAGGGGCCAGCUAUUGCCAAAGAUUUCAUUAUUUAAAAACUAAAUGUCUUCUGAAGUCAGAAUCUGAAUCAGAAUGCCUUUUAUUGUCAUUAUACGCAGUACAAUGAGAUUAAAACCACCCAUAUCAGUGCAAGACAUUAUAAAAAGAUUGAUAAAAAAUAUAGAAAAAUAUGAAACUAGAUUAAUAUGAAGUAUAUACAAUGUAAACAUGUGGACCUGAGAUUCUUUUGACAGGAUAAAUAUGGUACCGAUUUGCAUAGGUGUAAUAUGUAGCAGUAUAAAAUAUAAAGUUCACAGUUCUGAGAUCCUAAUUAACGGAAUAAAUAUUGUAAAUAUACAGAAAUAACAUAAAUGUACUGUGCCAAUGAGUCUAUAUUGUCCUGAAAAAGUGAUGUUUCAUUACUGAUUGAAACGCAAACAAUAGUAAUUUGAUGGUAGUACCAAAGUAGUUGCAAGAUGUCUUCAAGGUAUAACCUAAAAUUCAAAUGGAUAUAUGUUCUGUCCUUCUCUUCGGCCCCACCACAUCAGCAGAGCAGAUAGGUUUCACUUAAGUCCCUGUGUAUGCUCCCACUGGCUCAGCUGCAGUAUAUUUCAGCUCUGUUCCAGCUCUGGUAUUCUUAGCCCUUCACAGCCGAUAUGAACUGCUUCUAUUUUUACCAAACACCAGAGCAUGAUGCAUCAAUCAGUGCGAGGCAGGUUGUGGGAGACAGGAAGCCAGGCACAGAAACAACAAUAAAACAUUUAGUUGAUUUUCAAAAUGAAACACUUCAAAUUGGUAUCAGGCUGUUUUUCACUUAACCAACAACAAACUGCCAUAGUAAGCAGAGAGCCAGGUCUGGAGUUUAAAGACUUUCGAGCUGCCAUAGAUGAAGUGACAAGUACUGUUUUUGGCCUAUGCUAUUGUGGUAACAAGUACACUUAAAAGAUCCUCAAAUAACUUCCGCCUUGUGUGAACUCAUGUUUAAUAGGCUUUUUUGAAUUAGCAUAUUUUCCAACAGGAGACCAGCAGCCAGCUCUGGUCACCAGCAUAGGGUAUGGAGGUAUACUUUCUUAAGAUGACUCACUGUUAUCAUAGGUAGUGGGCAUGCUGCGGCAGAGGCAUUGCUUUUCUCACACUCAAAAGAAGCAGAAGCUGAUACAGUGUCAUUGUAAAUGACUGACAGGUGCGUGUACGUCUCACUGAGCAUUGAUGGUCUGCCGCCUUGUGAAGAUGAAGGUAGUAAUAUUUAUGUCUUCUCAGUCUGGGGCUGCUGCUUUCUCGAUCACUUAACAGAGAGGCACAUUGAGCAAUUUAAACUAGUUAGUGCCAGUAGCAAAUAUUAGGAAAUUCUGAUAUGAUACCACACCUUUAAGAGUAGAAUGUAUUAGAAAAGUACCAUGCAGCUCUUCUACCUUGUUUGAUUCCGUGUCCUAUGUGGGGACUGUGCCAAAUCUGCCUAGAAAAUUAUUUAGUUCAGCGCGGCAUUGUUACAAUUGCCUCUUGUCUCUCCUGCAGUAAGACCCCAGUCUGUGUAAGAAUAUAUCUCUAGAGGCCAUCCUUAACGGCAGGAUAAAUGAGUAAAGCAGUUAAGUGUCAUUUGUCAACAUAGAUACUAAUGCUAUAGCUUUUCUGAGUUCGCUUCACUAUUGAUAAGGCACUGCUAGUCACCCAUUAUUGUGUAAUGGCUGCCAUCUAUAAUGGCUCACAGACAAGAUGUAAAAGACUGAGUGGUGAUAAAGAUAAAUGUGAUCAAACACAGAGAGACAAAACCACCUCGUAACAAUCCAGCAUAGCUUAAUGAACAGGUUCAUAAACACAGUCCUUAUAGUGUAUAGCAAUUUUCAUUUGACACAAAAGAGGUAAAGCAUAUUUGAUAAGUUUUCUUCCUGGCUUACAAAAAGUUGUAGAGCAUGAAGAGGUUAUGAAGCAAAGAAUUUGGUAUUGGCUUUUCUUUCCAUCUUAGCCAUUGAAAACUUUUUCAGCAGUUUAAGCACCAAUGGCCCUUCCAACCCAUGACCCUGUCACCAGUUUACUGGUUUCACCAUUUUGUGUCUUGAACCACUUUUUGAAGGCACUGCCUGCUACAGACUGGUAAUACCCCUUAAGAGCAGCGUUUUUAGAGUAACUCUGAACUGGUCUUCCUACUACUGUUGGGACUUGCAUCCUUAAAGAUCUUCUUUUUUUGUGGUGUAUAUACAAAAAAAAUUGUAAUAUCAGUCAAUAGCUAUUAGUUAUUGAUGACAUUUGAUAAAAUAACAAUAUCGCUGUGUUUUGUUGUCUGUGUAGUCAACAUUUUUAAAUUUUUGCACGCUCCGCUCUUUCUGACUGUAAACAAAGCCGUUCCCCACCUCCCCCAACCUGAUUGGUUGUGAGGGAGAGGCUGCUCCCCCGUGUCAUUCACGAGACCCUGUAACUUUUCUGCUGAACAGGUAAACUGCUUUAGCAAAGUAAGCCAAGUGUCUGUAACAGAAGUGUGUCUUGUCAAUCGGGACCUGCUGCAUGUCGUAGCCAAACUGUUUACCUCAGGUCCUGGAGUUUGUCACUUUCACCUAGUUGUAGAAGUCCUGCAAAAUUUGUUUGCUGGUAGUCUGUUGGCAUCUACAGUAGCACCAAUGCUGUUUACUUUCACGUUGACUAGGUCCUAUUUGUAAUUAUCUGAAGUAUUUAUCUGCAUUAUAUCUGGAUUUAAUUGAAACGAUACGAGCGAGCAGGAGCGUCUGUUUGUGGGAGGGGCUUUCUGGAGCAGAGAGGAGCUGAGGGGAAAACUGGUUGGGAGGGGUAGUGUUUACAUUCAAGAUUUCUCCCCAAAAACUGGCACUUCCUCAGAUCCUGCCUACCCCACCUUUAACCUUGCCUGUAUUUCUUUUUCUACUUCCAACACAUCCAUGUUCACUUCCUGUGAGAAAUAUCACCUGCUGACAAAUGUCACUGGAAGAGAUAAUCAAUGGUACUCACUUCGCCUGUCAGUGGUAAUGUUAUGGCCAAAGUGUACAUUUUAUACUCAAACACUUACACAAAGCAGCCGUUCUAGCCUAAAGGGUAAAAGGGACUGGUUGCAGUAAAGUUAUCAUUAUCCACUUUAUGGUUUGGACACAUUAAAAGGAAUGUAAACUGCAGAAUCGAAUGUGGGCUCCAGUGUAUGUUCAUCUGUGCUGAGUAAAAAUGAGUGGAAAGAGUCUUAAGAUAAUAUCGUAGCCGUAAUUAGUGAUGCAGCACAGAUAAAGGCUCACAUCCUUUUAGUGUUUAUUCUUUUUAUACUAUCCAUCUACCUCUGCUUCUGCAUUCUGAAUUCACUAAUCAGCAGGGAAUCAGGCUGUAUACAAACAGUCCAUUGCUGCCAACUGAUGCUUCAGCUUUAUUUGCCAAGAUUAUAGAUGUGUGCUGCUACGGCUUACUCCAUACACAUCUAAAACUUGGCAAAUAAAACCGAAACCAUCUACACGACUUGGUACUGUCAUAGAUACAAGAGAAAACAUGUUGUUUUCUCGUUUGGAUGAACCACUUUCCCUCUUUAUAAGAUACAGGGUUUACACUCGGUAAAUGUGAAAUUACUCCUGACAGGGUAAUACUUCACAAGAGCAGCUGCAAAGCAUUUAAAAAAAAUCAAAGUAGUCUUCGACUCAUGAAUUAUUUCCCUGGGUUACUGAAGUCUUUGGCACUUGAUCUCUACUCUGUGGAGAGAGGGGAUUUGAAUUGAUGUGACUAAUGUAAAACAAGGCCAACUGUCAGAUGUAAGCCAGUCACUGGAAGUGCACUUUUGCACCCUCCAUUUCCAAGGCAUAAUGAUGCAUAGCCAUCACACUUAAGCCCAGUCUAGUGCCUGCAUGUAGAAAAGGUGUCAGUUGCAGCAAAGAAAAUUAUGCAGUCCACUAGUUCCUUGUCUAGCAUGACAUCUCAGCUGCUCUGUGAUUUCCCUGAAGAAGAGAUGACAUGUUUAUGAGUUAUUCCCCUGAUGGGGCCUACACCUAGGAAUACAUGCUUGUCCUUUCUCCCUGACUUGCCACUCUAUUGUGAAUAACUGAAUAAAGAAGGAUUUUGAAAUAUUCUCUUCAUUUAAUAGCCGAUCUAAGAAACCAUUGUGUCAUAGGGAUCCUGAAAGUGUAAUUUGAAACUGAGGAACGAUAUUCACCAGCUCAUUACUGUUAAAAUCAACUUAACCCUGGUGGUUUGAGCAUUUUGAUCCUUUUUCAUGCAUAUGGAUUGUGAGAUCGAGGCGGCUUUUCGCAAAAUUUUUAUAAUGAUCCCCCCCCAAAUCACCUCAUUUUUGGAACAGGCACACAGAAUUAAUGCUAAGUGCUCAGGAAUGGCAUGCACACAUAAAGAGUUAAUUUUUAAGAGUCACUUGAAUAAGAAAACCAGACUAUGAGUGAUAAUUCUCAUCUGUGACUAGUUAUAGAGUUUUAUAGAGCUCCCAUGUUCAGCUUGAUAUUGUGCCUUCCUUUAGUGGCCACCAGUUGAAUUUUGUAUUUUGUAUUGUAAAGGCAAAACUCACCACUGGUUAUCAGCCGCCUUCAGAAUUAUUUAAAGAAUAGAUUUUAAGGAGACGUAAUUAUUUGGAAAUAUUGAGCAGUAAAGGUGAGCUAACAAUUCUAUAAACUGACAUAAAACAUUUAAGAAUGAAAGCCUUCAUAUAUUCUGCAGUCUCACAUGAAUAAGCAUGGCUUUUGAAAAGAGGAGGAAAAUAACCUGUAAUAAUUUGUCCCUCCAGUCGUGUGGAGAUACUGCUGCGGUGUUCCUCUAUUUGUCACUGUCAGCCCCCAGACUGAGGAUAUGAGAAGACGGCAGAAAGAAUGGGAGCAGUGAGGGGGGUGAGAGCAGUGGUGAGAGGAAGGGGAGUGUGAAGAAAACGCUGAAGUAUGUGAUUAAGAAUAAUGAGUAAAAAAUUGCAUAAAGCCUUCUCCCAAAUCACACAUCAACUCCACGCCUGGCAUUAUCCCUGAAGCAUCUCAUCAGUCCUGGACCAAGUCCCCAUCGUUGUGCAAUGCGCCCACCCACACACACAUACACAAACUCAGCAGUCCAUUAGCAGCUAACACAUGAGCCAACGUCUCGCUGUCUCCUUCUCCUCCUGCUUCUUUUUCUCUCUUUGUAUCUAUCUCGCUCAGUGGAUUUACAUUGUCUUGAAUAGUGAAAGCAGAGGGAGGAACAGGACCUGUCAAGUCUCCUAUCAAUUGGGUGACCCUCUGUCCCUUUGCUGCUGUUCCACCACCCAGGCAAACAUAGCACCGGCCUGCCCGUUAUCUCCAAACCACUGUUUGGAGAAGCAUCUCUAUCUGAACAGUGAGAAAACAUCCAAUGCAUAUCAAUUGGAAGACUCUGAUUUUUAUUUGUUCUGCAUUUGCCCUGUCUUGCUAUAGUACACAGAAAUGACAGCAGGGUCUACUGUAUAAACUCUCAAACCACUUGAAUCUUGUUGGACUUUGGUGGACAAAUUCAAUCUGAAAAUGUUAAACAUGUGAGUCGGUUCUCAUUUUGCCUCCUACUUUGACCUUUGUUACAUAUUUGCAACUACAAGGAGUUGAAAAAGAGCUUUUAAAUAUUCAGGAAUAGUAGCAUAUUAAGUAUGUGUUUAUUUGUUUAUUUGUUCAUUUGGAAGUAUUUUGAAAUACACCCAAAGAACAGGCUGUUGAAUGACUGAUAUGAACACAGGAAAUGAUUUAUUUAUGAAGCUGAAAAUAGUCCUUUAUAUGCUCAUGGUGUACUUAUCAGCCUACUUACAGGCUGCAUUAAUGUUAAACUUAACAUGUUCAUUCACAUUGAAAUGUUAACAUUAGCACACCCCACUGCUGUGAUUCACUUAUUUCCAUUUAUGGGAAAGUCAAAGCAUAAGUGCUUGGUAGUUGGUAUUCUUAGCAAAUGGCUUCAUAUUAUAGCAGCACUCAUAUAAAGUCCUUUCUUGAGUAACUUUUUUUUUAAGUCUGUUGGUAUUUUACUCUCUUCCAACCAGUCUCAAAGCCCAUACAGAGAUUUGUUUGGUAGUUGUCUUGUGUCUGCUUUCUUCAGUUUGGUUGAUGUCUCUUGAACUCAGCGUCUUGCGUGUUUCUUUCUCUGCUGGUUACUGCUCAUUCAUUAAUCACAAAUAUUAAUAAUAAAGCUGGUUCUCAAUUCAUAUUCAUGUAAAACAAAGGUGUAUUUCUAUUAUUGUACAACACAUUGGCACCUCAAUCACAGCAAAAUACUUUUGUAAACCAAAUGAAGUCAAAAUAAAUACCACCUCAGCAUGAUCUGCAGAAAGUAUCCACGUAAAGUGAAUCAACAAACCCAUCAAUAAACCCAUAACUCAGUUUACACUGUUACUCUUGAUCCAACAAUGUUUCCUAUUACUUUCGCAAGCAAUUUUGAGCCAAACAGUUUGAACUUAAUAUGCAACUUGGUGUCAGGGUACACAAAGCAAAAUAGUGAGAUACAUUGAAGUGAUUUUCCUAUUUCCAAAUAUCAGAUCUAAAAAUUCCUUAACAGUCAGUCAAUAUCUAGAAAAUAUAAAAGCAAUUUAUUUCAAACUGCAUGUGAUUGGCUGGUAGAUCUGCUGAGGAUAGACUCUUUGUGUUUGUCAUUGAAGCCUAAAUGUGAAAUGAUUUUUAAAUUUGCUUCCUCAUGCCAAUGUUAGGACAAUAUUUUACAUUAUUGUAAUGCAAAUAGUGUGAUGUUAAAGAAGUACAAACUUAAGCUGUGGUCAUGGCUGGUGAAACGUUACAGCGUUUUUAGGAGUACCAGUCAUCUGCUAAUCGACAACUCUUUUUCCUGAGACAGUCAGAACAACUCAAAUGUCUGCAUCCUGAGACCUAACUAAAGUUGCCAUAUAAAGGGCGAAGUGGCUAAAAAGUGUACUGAUUUUUUAAUUAAGCUGCCAUCACACACCAUCUCCAACACCAGCCAACUCAUACUAACAUGCAGGAAAUGCAAAAAUGAAUGCCCACACUCAUUGUUCAAUAAUAGUAAUGUGUUGAAAUUCAUCAUUUUAAUGCUAAUGUUUAAAAAAAAUUGUAUUGAGAGUGAUUAAAAGCAGAAUUUGUCUUUAUAGCAAUUUAUAUUCUUGGAUCAUUGCAGAAAUGUCUAUUCCUUAUCCAGUCCUCAAGUGUUUUGCUCUGUAUUUCCUCUGCCAAACCAAUCACCUAAGCAGGACAUCAGGUAUUAAAAGUGCCAAGAGGAUGGCAAAACAUCUGUCAACUUCAUCAUCUUACUCAUCCAGUGAACAGUGUCCCCUCUUCAGCCCUGUUAAAGCUCCUUCACCUUCUGCUUCCAUCAAUUUCAGUUUUUCUUUUUGGUUUUUCAGUUGAAUUUUCUCAUCUAAAAGAGAUGAUCAAAAUCUUCUCUCUGCUGCCAUCAAAGUCAAGUCAAGUCAACUCUGUGUAAAAGACUUCUGCACAUAAGUCAGAAUAUGUAAGCUAAAAUUGGUAAUUCAACAUUCAACCUCAGUAACACUGAAUUGAGUGGAUUUUAAAAGGAGGAUAAAGUUUUGUGCAGGAUGGAUUGCUGCUUAUGUGUGACUCCAAUUCAAAUGUUAAUAAAAUGCUAAGUUGUGUUUACUAAUUGACAGUUACAUCUUAUUUAUCCUAGAUAGAAUAUGUCUUUCCAUUUUUACUGAAAAAAACUAUUUUUACAAAUCCGAUAUCCACAAGUAAGUCUAGGUGCAGCAUGUAUGAACUGUGUAGCAGUUCUGUCCUUGGUCUGCAUAGAGUUAAACAUAUGCAUUUCAAUCUAAAAUUCACAGCAAUGAGUCUGAGCAAUGUGACCUUUCCUCAGUUAGGGAACAAUAUAACUCCCUUCAGCUUCCACAGAUCACACACUUUACAUACUCAUUUAGGGGAGAUAUUUCAAGUCAUCAAUGCAGACAUCUGAGACCCCACACUCAGCAGUAUGUCAGAACCAGGCCUUGUCAUCCCAGUCUUGAUGUAUCACCCAUAUUGGCGAAUUUAAAAAAUACAUAAACAAGCAACGGCCUGUGUUAAAACAUCAUGCAUGCAAUCAGAAACAGAUAAACAGAUACACUAGUCAACAUUAAUUGUACCAAAUGGUUUGUGCUUGUUAACACUCUAAAAACAGUCUGUUGGUAAGUUAAUCUCAAUUAGAAUCAAUUAGCAAGUUUUUUUUUUUUUUUUUUUUUAAUGGAUUGAUGUAUAACUCAAUUUCUAAUCGUUUAUUUCAGUGACAGAAAUUCAAUGUCACAAAUCAUGCCAGUAUCUGACAUUUUCUCAGACCUCCUUUUCUGUCUCAGCUCAGAGGCUGAAUAUUUUUUCAGCCAGCUCAUAAAACUGUUUUAAAGUUCAGUUAAUCCACCAGAAGCUGUCAAAAUAAAAUGUAAUCUCCUGCUUGUGGUUUUCAAGCAGUUUAUGGUCAAGCUUCUUCUUCCCAAAGAUGAACUAUUUAACCGCCUUAUGUCCCUUUUAUUGAAGCAAUAUUUAACUUUAUGAACAUGGAUCCAAAUUAGAAAAAGAGUAUGUACAUAAAGCUUUGAAAUUAAAUGUAGAAAAAUCCAAACACAAGUAGAAUAGUAUUACAGAUGCCUAGAAAGUUCAGACCCAAAGAAAUUGAAAUGAACAGAAACAAUGGUCCGUGUAGUAGCUACUGAAUAAAUGUAAAUUUUAUUUUUUUGUUUUUAUCAAUAGGAGUUUCUCAGCUACAGCACAGGAUCAUUAGCACCAUGCCUGACAUGACAGAACAGUGGGGCCUGAAUUGUUCUUGCACAGAGCGACUGCGUUGUAGAUUUUAUGUUUUGAUGUGCGUCUGCGUGUGUCUGUGUGUGUAUUCAAAUCUGUGUAUGCGAGGAAGCAAGGAAUAAAUGUCAGAAUCUGAGUCACUUUGAGGGUCCCACGGAGUGUCAAGGCGCUCACUGCUGUUGGUAUAAUUGACUGGAAGGAUUUCAUUUUUCUGUAACAGGCAGCAGGACAAGCUUGAAAUACCUUGAGGGGGUCAAAUUUAGCUUGAACAGCUUUUCUUCAUAUUUAUCAUGACCUAAAUAGAAAACACAAAGUCAUUUUUAUGCCUGGAUGUAUUUUUGGAAACCUCCAUGGUUGUCUGCCUGGAAAUGAUAGUUUAGAGCUAUAAUGGCCCGAAAGGUAUAAGUAUUCUAAUCAUGAGGUCUGGAAAUAUUGGGCCCAGGGGAAGUCAAAAAUAUGAGAGUGACAUUGUGCCCCGACAUGCAGAAGAAAGGAACAAAAAGAAAGUUUCCGGCAGGUACUAUCAGCCCCCUGGGGAGAAACCAUUGUGAGGUGUCCUUAUAGGCACUAUCUAUCAGAUGCUGCUUCUGGUGCUAGAGGCAGACUGUAGGGAGAGCUGAAAAAAUCCUAAACAAUUCAGGUGAAGAAUUUUCCCUCAUGUCUUCUCUCUUUGUUUUGAACUCUUUUUUUCCCUUUUGAAUGAAAUAUUGAAAAAAGAAAAUGCGGUCUUAUAAAUAAUGCUUGGUUCUUUUGAAAACUUUUAAUGAUUCAACAUUGUUUGCUGAGGUUUUUGAGAUAGCCACUAGCCUAUUAUUUGUACUUAUUUUUCAGCUGCAUUUAUAUUUUACCCAGUUGUGUGUGUGUGUGUGUGUGUGUGUGUGUGUGUGUGUGUGUGUGUGUGUGUGUGUGUGUGUGUGUGUGUGUGUGUGUGUGUGUGUGAGAGAGAGAGAGAGAGAGAGAGAGAGAGAGAGAGAGAGAGAGAGAGAGAGAGAGAGAGAGAGAGAGAGAGAGAGAGAGAGAGAGAGAGAGAGAGAGAGAGAGAGAGAGAGAGAGAGAGAGAGAGAGUACAUAUCCUUGUGGUGUAAAACACAAACAGUUUAAUCAUGCCUGCAAACCCUAAUGCAGCGUUUCAGAGCACUAAGGCCCGUCUGGGGAGCCCGGACUCCCAACUGCGUCUCACAUGAGCAGUCCAGUAAAAUUAGUUGAUGAUUGAUCCCACUCUAGUGGGAGUGGGAUGUUUUUUUUUCUUCCUUUCUCUUACUUCUAAAUAGAUAUUGUAUUCAAAUAGAAGAACAACCAUUGACUCUGUAAUCCCUGUGCAACUGUAGCUGACGAGCAGCAAAAGUCAAGUGUUGUAUUUGUCUGUGUGCCACGCUUAUCUCCUCUGGUCCCCACAGGCCUGGCUUGUCAAUGUCUGUAGCUUGGAGCUACGCUUAGCUGUCUCUGAUAUUAAAGAGCACUAUCUCUGAGGUGGCCAUUUGGGGAGACAGGUUUCUUUUCAUUCCAACAAAGACACUCCGCCAUAAUAUUGUGACUAUUUUUGCCUUGUCAUCCUGAAUGCUCUUCUCACUGAAUACAGGCCGAACAUUUGUAGUCUUUAUCUGGAGGUAUGGAUUUUGCACUCAGUCUGCCUUUUGUGUAACUUCCUUUUUAUAUUGCUCAUGGCAUUUUAGAACAUUACCUUUAAAAUCUUUCUUCAAUACUUAACAAAUUAAAACACAAUAAAUGUACAAGUAAGACCAGGGUAUAAAUUUAACAACUACGUUUUCAGCAUAAUCUCCUAAUUAUAUUUUUGCAAUAUUAUAGUGAAUACCUCUGAUAAUUCUGAAGAAAUGCUAUGGUUGUUUCAUCCUUUUGAAAUUCUCCAUAAAAAUCAGCUGCCCUGCGUGAACCAAUUAAGCAGUAAUUACAAAAGCAUCUAGUUUUAUCUCUACUUGUGUGAGUCCAGUGGUCUGUUAUGUACUUAUUAAAGUGAAUUAUCUCUGAUAAUCAGUCUAAUCGGGUUUCAGCUCAUGUUAGCAGGCUUCCUGCUGGGUGCUAAUGUCUAAUUACACUGGAGCACGUCUUGAUGGGAAGGGUGCCCCGCAGCCCCUCGGUGUUUCUGCUAUGCUGCUCUCUAUCCUUGUCUGAUCACACUGGACUGUCAAGUACACAUCACGGCCAAUCACUGAUGAUGAGGAGUGGAUCAAAGCAGCCAGAGAGAACCCGAUCAAAAAGAUGGCGAGUUUGGGGAGCAUGUUCCUGUGAGAUCAUAUUUUAACCCUGAAGUUGACCUUGACGCCCUGAAGAUGAGUCAUUCAUACACUUUGCUGCUCCUGCUCAUAUAGAGUGAGUGUGUCCAAUGUCAGGAAUAAUUCCCACCAUUUUUUGUGUGUGUGGCUGUUCCUAUGUGAGCACAUGUAUGGAAUACUGAGGGACUACAUUAGUCUGUGUGUUUGGUCAGGACUCGUGUGUGGGUGUACUCUCUCCACGGGCAAUCAAUAAGCUCUGUAGCUAUAAAGAGACAUGCAGAGAAGUUGUUAAAUAGUCACAUUAACUUUAACAGCUGCAGACGGGAAUAAAAUGCAACUCUAGACAAGAAAAGAAAACUUUAUCUACAUGCUCCUAAAAGUAAUGAGGGCUACAAAAAGGAUGCAUUUACUUUUAUAUUUAAGGCAAUCCAUCUUACCUAGACAGGCACAAGAACUAUAGUCUGCAUAUUAAAGAAUAUUAAAAAUAGAAAAAAAAUAGUAUGAAAAAAUAACUCCUUGUCCAGGACAGAGAUUUGUGUUUCACCUACUGUUGUCUUUCAGCAAAAUAAAUUGAGUGGAAAUCCGCUUUCAAGGCUGGUCAUUACAGAGGUAGGUAGAGUGAUUUCAUGGCAGCAGAUUGGAAAAUGGCCUUUUGUAGCAACUCCAUUUACAUAGAGAAAUGCUGAUGGUUCACAAUAACAAAUGUGCCGUAGUCGACAGAGAGCCGCUCUGCCCGUUGUCUUUCACUGACACUUGAUAGUAGUGCACGUACAAUUAUGCAUAAUGCACUAAUGGCGGUUUCUCAUAACUGUCAGUGAAGCUGUGGGUAAAGUGUUUCCUUUGCAGACAACUUGAUGCUAGGACUACCGCCGGCACGUUUUGAUUUUGCUGACGCCAGUACCCUUGACAACAAAAUAGCAUUGUAUCAGCUGAACGUCUGCCUUGGCUAUCCUUGCAAAGUUAUUGAAAAAAGUUUAAAAUUACUUUUUGAGACUGGAGUGUUGGAGUUUUCUGUGCUUACUGGACUGAAAAGAUUGUUUCAGUGUUACAAAAAUGAACACAGUGUCAUAUCUGGCUUUUAAGUGGUUGAAGUUAUUGAACAGUAUUUUUUUUUUUAAGGUAGAUGAGGGUCGAAAUCCUUGUUUGACUAUCUUUAAGUGUGAUGUUUCUACAACUGUAAGGAGCCAUGCACACAUCAGCACACCAUUAAAGUAUUCAUGGAGAUAUAUAUUUCAUGCUGACUGGUCCUUAAGGACUUGAGCAGGACACGUUAAUGGGGAGAAGCAACCAUUACAACAACAAGCUGAUGAAAAAUUGAUCAUGUUUUCUUGCUUAACCCUGUUAACUGUGUCAGAAGGUAAUUAGCAGCAACAACUGUUAAAAUACAAAUUAUACUGAAUUGCUCAAAACAAAACAAAAACAUGGGCUCUCUGUUCACAAUUUUCCUGCACAGCACACUUGAAACUUAGAAAAAUCAGAGGCUCAUAUUCUUUCUGGAGCAAUGCCCACAAGCUAGUUCAGGCGCGCAACCCGAGCUGCGCUGAUCUCUCAUUUUCCUGUGCUGUUCUCAAUCACCUGACAAGUACCCUCUCAAUUAGGUGGUGUAUUUAAGGUUUUGUAUUUGUUGUCCAGAAAAAUGAAUCCAAAAAUCUUCUCUGUCCUGUUUCACACUUUUAAAACAUCACUGGGGAACUUCUCACUUCUUUGCAUUACAGCUGACAUUAAAUACUAAAUAUUGUUUUCCCUGUUUUUUCCCUUUAAUUUGUUUGUAUUUGUGAUAUUUAUGAUUUUUGCACUUACUGCAAGUUGUUGGGUUGUUGGUGCAACAAGUCUAAGAUGUGAUCAACUUCAACCAUGCAACCUUCUUUGCCUCUGCCAUAAGGUGACAGCUUUGUUACCACAUGAUAGACAUAAUAGCCAAAGGAUAAUAUCAGUCAGAUUAUUUGUUCUUUGCCAAUGCAGUAAUUUUAUCCAGCACAGUCAGUUAUAUACUAGAGCUCUUGUGAAAAACCUUCAGUUUGCAUCUAAUUAAGUGCCUUUUAUGAAUGAAGUGUCGUAACCAAUUGUGAAUCUUGAAAUUUGUAAGCUGUACGUGUUAACACAGAAUCUCACCCAACUUUCUGAUAUCAGUCGAAUGUGUCAUUCAUUCAGAAGGUUUCAGAAAACCAUCAAGAAAAUAACUCAGUGUGAUUGGAGGGAAACUUCAUUUAAGAGCAGAGAAUAGACUUAAAGGCCAAAUAUAAAGAAUAUACUUUAUACUUUAUUAAUUUUAAAUAAUUUUCCUAAGCACUUCAAAUACACUGCAUUUAUUUGGUAAACAUUUCUGAAUUGUUCAUAUCCCAAAAUAUAAUGCAGAAGAAAGAGAUAAAUGACAAUGUCAGUAUUUUUUUAUCAUGCAGCCUUAAUAUUUAUUUUAAACAGAUAUGUAAAAAAACAGAUAAAAAAACAUCCUCAUAGCAGCUUUAAAAUGACAGUCAGAGAUACAAUGACACAGUAAAGGGCAUGUGAAUGAUAAAUAGCAAGUGUACAUUAGUACGAUAUAAAAUGUGAUAUGAUGUAAAAGAUUAAGUAUACCAUUGGGUGCACUGUGAAGCGCAAAUACCAUUAGCUGCAAUGUAAGGUACUGCAAAUUAAAUUACAAAGGUUAAAUAGUAUUUGACAGUGUAUAUAUAUAUAUAUAAUGCAGCAAGAUAUUAAAUAGUAAAAGUAUUCAAAAGUAUGCUAUAAAUGCCUACACUAUUUUUAAAAUAAUGUAAGUAGCACAAGACUUAAAUAUAAAAUCAUACAAUUUUUUAAUCAUGCCUAUAUUUUUUUUAUUCAUUUAUUUUUUAUUUCGUAAUCCAUUUUUUUUGGUGCCCUAAAAAAGUAAAGUUUUUUUUCUUUUUUUUUCAAACUUGUUUCUCAUUUCUGAUGUACAGUAAGUCCAACUAACAUUACUGAAGCUUUUGUUGUAUCAAACAUAAUCAAAAAGAAAAUUUCAAAAAUCCUCUUUGUCUUGUUGGAACCAAUCCAUGUGGCGACCCCAGUAUUUUAAUCACGGCCAGAGGAAUGUUGUCGCCUGUGUGUCAUGAAGUCAGCCGUCGAGCAAAGAGCACUCUCAGCCUCAAAGUCACUGAAUUAGAAAUCCACACACUGCCGUCCUUAGAAGAAAAUGUUAUUUAUUUAUUCUGGGCCUCCCUUCGAGUCCAUCUCCAAAAUCACACAGCCCAACUCUGGGGGUGCGAUGUCUCUCAAUAGUUUCCACUCCACUGUUCACAGUUCAAAUGAGUUUCUCUGAAGAUUUAUUCUUCACAGCUAAUCACUUGUAACUUGGACUGAAUUUGUACAGUAAGUCACUCUCACUUGCAAUUUACAGAAAAGAGAACAAAAAAAACACGACUGAAUCAUUGCCUUGUGUGAGGUGAUCGCUUCGAAGUGAUUGGAUUUCUCAGACAUCUCCCCCCAAAUGUAUAAGCCCCUCACUGCUUUUUAAUUUAAAAUUAACUUCAGGUUUUCUGUCUGUAACAAAAACAGGAGCAGUAGUGUGUGCUCCCUUUGCGGGCAGGGUGUCUCUGUCUCUCCCCUUCCUUCUAAUAUGUUUAGCUUGUUCAGUGCCAUCAGUUACAUGUCUGCCAAGCAUCACACGUCGUCAACUUGCUCCCAAUGACGUCCCACUGUUCUGACCAUUGAUUGGCAGGUCAAGCAGCGAGCGCGAGCAGGAAAUCAAUAGCAGAGGACCUCUAGACAGUACAGGGGUAGUCUUCAAGGAACUGGCCUGCUGGACACUGCCAAUCACCAAGCACAAAAUGUAAGGCCAGCCAGCCAUGAACAAAAGCUAUCUGCAGGCUGAAACACAGAAGAAGAAGAAACAAAGAAGUUUCUCUAUUACAGGAACAAGGACAAAGGACUGCUAAGGUUUUAGAAAUAUAUUAGCAUCACAUUUGCUCAUUUAUAUGCUAAAACAUAAGUGGGACCUUGGACCUUUGGGAUUCAGCAUUGCCAAAUGUAGGCUUUUUAUCUUAACAUGCAGUUGCACCAGGUCUGACAGUCUAAGCAUGACAGAGCAAGCUUAUUAGCAUCUAGUCAGCCAUUUCGACCAAGUGGGAGACACAGGAGUCACAAGCGGAGUGUACACAGCUAUAUUCACCCUCCAGCCUCCUUAAAAGAUGGCCUGAGGGACCCUUAAGGCUUAGUGGAGUUAUGCUUUGUCCUCCUUGGUGAUGCUUUCCAUUUUUUUCUCAGACACGCUUUUGGAUACUGUUGGCGAAUCACCAAAACAAACACUCAACUGACACCACUGACAAUAAUUCUGGAGCAGAUUCCAAAAUAAAACCUGAAAAGGAAAUGGCAGCGCUGUGAAUUUAGCACUGACACUCUCAUCUGCCUCCCUGACAGAAACAGUGUCGGAGAAUCGGCUCUCGGACCCAAAGGAUCUUUUUUUUCUUCUUCUUCUUUUCACAGACAGCAUGCAGUUCUCUUGGACAGACAUAUUUUAAUAACAGUGCACUGCCAGAGCCAAGAACACUUUGUUCUCGUUCUUCCUCUUGUCCUCAAGCAGCUGAGUGUUGGUUGUGUUCUACGACCCGUGCAGUUUUAUCCUCUCUGCCUACCUCAAAGCCAGUGACCUUUGACCCCGGUCAUUUAUUUCUCUCGUCAAAACAGUUUGAGAUGAUUCAUUGUGCACAAGCUCAAGGUUGUGAAGCUGAUAUAAUAGUGGAAGCAGGCCCAAGUGUGAAUUCAGUUUUUGUCGAAUGUAGAGCACAUGUUGUUUAAAUAUUCACUACAGCCAUUAAUUUACACUAAUUUAAGAUUAAUGGUUAAUGCCCCACAGACUGUAACGUCAAGCUUUUCUUUGAAACUACUGCUAUAUCUAAGCAUUUAUACAUGUAGGGGCUUUUUCAUGGACUUACUGUAUGUUUGAAGGAAAACACAAUUAAAAGUAAUUUCCCUGAAAACGAGGUAUAAUUUUGAAAUUGGCAAAUAUCUCAGAAUUUUGUUUGUUAGGUUGAUUCACUUGUUCAGAAUAAAAAUAGAAAUACUGUGACCUUGCUUGCCGUCCCUGGUAGUUGGCAACACAUUUGCAUGUUUUUUUUUUUUCAACUGUCACCUUGGGUUCCUGCCAUACACCUGCCUUUCUCCAUGCCACUGACACACACACAAACACAAACACACACAAUGCAUUUCAAUGGUAGCUACUGGAAUUCAAAAUGCAUCUGAACUUGCCUUUGCAAAAGAAAAACCACAGCAGAAUAAAAAAUACAAAAGGUUGUAGAAUACAUUUGGCAUAAACAUUACACCCAUGUACAUAACCUUUCCCUCAAACACCUUCAGCAAUGUAUCGACGAUCAAGUACAAAUCAUAACCCUCACCUCACCUCUGUGCACACAGAAGAAUGGUGCUGCACUCACGUUGAUUCUAGUGUCCCUGACAAUGGCUUCUUGUCAUCCUCUGCCCAUCUUUUUACGAUCUCUUGUUUCUAGAGUUAAUUCCUAAUGCUGUGUGGAUGGAUGUUGCACCGAGCUCUUGCCUUCACUCCACAUUUCAAAUGUGGAUGUUUGUGAAAUGGACUGGAAUGAAAUGGAAAAAGAGCCUGUGUCUUAUUUCCCCUUCUCACCAGCUCCCUUCUCUCACUUCAGUUUCAUUUUCUCCCCGGUUCACUCUCUAGCUGGCGAUUAAUGAUAAAAUGUCCAGCAUUUGAAACGGUGUCUUCCUUUGCCUUCAGUGACUGCUCAAGACAGGGUGAUAAUAACAGCAGCUGAAAUGGGUAAAUUAUACCAAGGACUGUGACAAAGUGGUCUCACUUAGCUGUUAAAGCCGGUACUCAGGCCACUCACAAGUCACAUAGUUAAGAGGCUUUGAGGCUCAAUCUGUCCCUUGACUAUUUCGGAUACUUUGAGUUUUUGCUUUCUUUCUUUGGUAUUCUCUGGCAUAUAUAUAUAACCUGGAGGAGUUCAGUAAAAAUUUUGCAUCCUCUAAGGGGCAACACACCUGGGCAGCAUGUGACAUGUGUCAAAACAUCUGCAUGUUCUGUUAUUUUCCUGGCUUCAUGACGUGUCACACCAAGUUGAUGCAUGUCACACACGUCAGGAUUUGACACUCUUAUUUCCCAACACCACCAUGCAUCAGCUCUCCACAAAAGUAGUCAUUUUAUCACACACAGCUCCCUAGAAACUCGCAUCUACUUAUUAUACAGCUGCUAUUAUUCUGUCUGUAUGCCGUGUCCACUGUUUGCUACAGGCAUCUAAUGACACAACAGUGCGUGACACAGCCUGAGUGUAUGGCCCUUAUGAAUUGUCAAACUGUGACAUCGCUGGUUGCUGCACAAAGUCCCGCCGAUGCAGACAUGCCUAUUACAGUACAGUUACAAGCUUGACAUACAGCAUGCUUAUUCACCUCAUAAGCUUUCCAUACCUCUGAAAAGAUUCCUGCUAUACUGAAAAGAGCCUUGAGGACUUUUGUAGUUACAUGUAAGGUUGACCUGUAGCUUUCGAUUACAACAGGGGAAGCAGAAAAAUAAGAAAAAAAAUAUCUUUGUGCAUGUUUGUGUCUUAAUUUAGAGAUGUUUUGGUGCUCUUUAGGCAUAAGAUAAGAUAUUCCUUUAUUAGUCCCACAGGGGGAAAUUCCAAAUUUACAGCAAUGAUGAAUACAAAAGAGAAAUUAAAAGAUGAAGAAAUGUAGGAGUUAAAUAUAAGAUAUAUGUACAUGUUUAAAUAUCACAGUUGGAAAAUUUUAGAUAUGACUAUAUACAUGGAAUAUGCAUCCUGUCCCUUAUGGAGCUCCUUAGUGCAGUAAAAUGAAUUAGAGAAAAAAGACGCAAAAGAAAUAGAAAAAAGAGGAUAAAACUCCUUAGAGUUCGCAGAGUUGCUGUAAAAGGCUGUCGUUUGUCCAGCGCCGGAAGUCGCCAGGCGUCCUUAUAUUCCUAUUCUGUGUGAAGCUGCAUGCAAUUUUAGAAUCAUUCUCAGUAUCAUCUAUUAUCAUGGAUUUAGCUUUUUGAAUAAUAUCAGUGAGUAAGAAAAGCUCUACAUUCAAGAACAAUUCCAGGAAUCAUUGUAGUUAGCCAAAUCUCAUGAGGGUACAGUGUCACAUUAAAACAGCAUCUUUAUUCCUCUGUUAUGAAUAAUGGCUAUGAGCUCCAGCGUGUAUGUGUGUUUUCUGUUUCUUUAUUUCUCUGGCCACUGCUAUUUGAAACAAUUAAGGCAUUUGUCAUGAAUUCCUGUGGGGUGAUUUGUUUGUAAUGUGUGGGAGUAUCUGUAACACUGCCUGAAAUAAUACUUAGAGCAUUAAACCAGAAAUGCUUAUAAACAGGCUUAUUGAUUCCAAAUGCUGAUUCUGUCCUCAUGUUUUUGUUUAGGAAAUAAUUUGAUUGUUUCCACUGCUCAUAUAAAUAAAAAUGUAGUUAUAAAAGACUGUGACAUGCUGUAACAAUUAUGUUCGGAGAAUUAAUCAUAACCAUGUUGGUUACAGAUUUCACACUUUGGAAAAACAUUACACAGCAAUGAUUUGCUUCAUUUAUCUCAGAUUGGUGUUCUUAUUCUGUGAGUGAAAGUGGCAGCUGUGAAAUCAAACCAUCUCAUAUACAAUGACACAAUGUUAAAGAACUUACCUUUAUCUUUGUAAAUCCAACAUCUUCAGCAAUGGGUCCAUUUGGGGGUUUUAAAGCAGUAUUUUAGUGUAAAAGAUGAUAUUGUUAAGGUUUGCAGAGAGGGGCACUCAGUUAUUUAAAACUCAGCAAUCACAGACGACGGUUAAAGAUCUCAGUUGAAUCUUAAUUGCGGUAAUAAUCACCAGCCUUACCCUGUGCUUCUUUAUCUAAUGCAACAAAAACCAAAAUCUUUUCACACAUCUUAAAUCACCGAACAGUUUUUUCCAGAUGACAGACAAAAGAAACAGUGUCUGCCCACAGAUCAGGGUCAGGAGAUCACCAGACAAAAAGAAAAAAAAGAGAAAGAAAACAGUCAAUCUUUAUCUCCUUUUUAAAGUGGAAGCCAAAAAACAUCAGCUCCCAAACUCCUUGCUGACAAGCCAGGGACUCCUCAGACAAGCAGUGUGCUGACAGGACAAUGUUUUGGUGCUCCGGCCUGGAGAUUUCCCUCUUCUUUGGCUUCAUUUCAGCCUGGGAGCCACAUGUCAUGGGUCAAACAGAAGAAAAUACUUAGCCGCUUGUUAUUCCUCUCUGCUGGCACUCGGAAAGGGAUCUGGUGAGAGACAGAUGAGCCUGUCUCUCUGAGCAGAAAGACAGACAGUUGAUGAAACACCCGGCCUUUUGUUAUUCUUUUUUUUUAUGAUAUCCGUGUGUGUAAAUCGCUACAGGGACACUUCUAAGAAUUAUUAAAUGAUUGAGUUUGAAGUAGCAGCUUGGAGACAAACAUUUCCAGGAAUAAGACAGAAUGAAGAACUAACAUUUCUCUUGCUGACUGUGCCAGCCUGAAAGGCUUUGAGCACAUUACCAAUAAAUGUACCAAAGUGUCAGAGCAGUUACACAACAUUCAAAUCAUGAAAUAUCAAGUAUUACAUUUUUUAUUGUUUUUUAACAACAAGAUAUAAAAUGAUGAGCUUUGACACUGAAACCCAAAUUCAACUGCAAAACUGGGUUUCGUAACUUCACUUGAUUCUUCAGCGAGUUGUUGUAAAAACAGGGGAAGUAUUGCGUGAUGUUAAUCUGUGAUUAUUUAAUGUGUUAAGAUGUGUCACAACAACUGUAGUGUUGGUGCACUAUUAAAGAGCAACUUGAUUCAGAAUGUUGGCAAAUAGUUUCUGCACCGUAAUUGGCCAUAUUUAUUAAUAAGUAAGUCUAAAAGCAUUGAUUUUGACAGUGGAGGGGGAGCAUCUCGCUGUGCAGUAGCAGGACCUCAUGCUGCUCCCUGCGAGCAGGACUCUCGCUGUGUAGCAGUGAUUGCAACAUAUCCCUCUGAUUACUGUCAGUGAAUGUUAUGAGGUGUUUUCUGAUUGGGCUGGCUCCGGCUCCAGGGUUCACUCUAAGGGCUUCAUGGGAAUAUGCAAAGUGCUCUGCAAAGUAAACCUCCAUCUUAAAUACAAUGCCGACGCAGCCACUUCUGCUUAGAUUUUGUGGGCAUAAUUUGACACAGAUGCUGGGUCCGUCACAAAAGGCAGAGGAAAACACAUUAGCAAGAAAGAGGCCAGCGUGUCCUGCCAGCCGGAGACAAAGAUGUUUGAGGAUUGUGGUGAGACCAACAAAGGAUACCUCUUGAUUUUUCUCAGUAUUAUUGCCUUGUUUUCUUCUCACUGGUGUGAGUCUUACCAGUAUAGUUGCUCCAUCAAGGUAUAGUUCCAGAAAACCCCAUUCAUUAGUUGUUUUGUCUUGGUUUUGAUCAACUUGUCCAGCUCUGGGAGUUUCCUCCGCUACCAAAACAGUCACAUCUAAGAGGGCAAAUUCCAGCUCUCUUUAUUUUUCUGCCCAUUUCCGAGGGUUCAAAUACCACCAUACACUGUUACACUUGUAGUUUUCAUCUCACGGUAUCUUCAAAAACAAGGCAAAGUCAAGGAGUGGGGAUAUACAGUAUCAUCUUAGCCUCCUUAUGAUGUUGUUCCACCUCCACAGGCAAUUGUCAGAGGAUUACAUACAUGCUGGUAUACAUAGAGCCCUCGGAUGAUAUUUUCAUUCCUUUGUACUGUGUGUGUUUCUGUAAGUGUGUUUCCAAUUAUUUAAAAUGUAGUCAGUAUUCCCUUUUCUUAAGCCAGGGACAUUCACACAUUAAAGAGAGUAGGUCGCCACAUGUUGGUGUUAUCAGUUACUGGUAAACAACUUGAGUUUAACCUGUAUAAUGUUAUUAAAUGGGUAACUGUAGUGCAGACAAAUUCAAAUACACGUCUCCACCAUCAUCUCAUCUAGCUAUUUUUUUUUUCUUUUCACUUCCUCAGCCGAAGCUGGUCAUUCAAUCUGAAAGCAAUUUAGCCCAUUAGCCUGAUGUUUAGGAGGCCAGUUAAACCAUGCGCAUCUACUUUGCAGCCUUCGUACUGAACUGUAGGGCAAUUUGUUUGUUGAUAAUACAGGCAGUGUUUCUCUGAGUUGGAAACGAAGCAUUUCUGACAAUAAUGCAAACAACAACAGGAUGUAUGGACGGAUUGUGCAAGAGCUCGUUGAGCAGCAGGAAACAUUUACAGAGAUCUCUGCAAGGUUAAUUGGCUGGGGUUACAUUGAAUGUUGUAAGCUCUGUAAUUAGUUCAGUACUUAUUCUGUUCUGCUAUUGUUUAAGUUACCAAUAACUACGGCGGUGUUUACAGUUACUCCAACACAAGCUUUGCAAUGCCUGUUCUUAUUGUUUGCACAGUCUUCUCUUAAAGCUCUUGUGUUGGCCUACACAAGUAAACAAGGCCAUCCCAUAAAGAGAGAUUAUUUCUAUCAUUUUCAAUGUCUGUAUCGAGUGGUGUGGGUUGGUGUCGGCUUACGUGGUAAAUUGCAUACCUCAGAAAUAGCGGUCUUCCUUUUACAUUCCCCAAGGCAAAGAUUUUAAAUGAGUCAUACAUAAAUGUGUUAAAUGAAGCAGGGUUUCUUUCUGUCUUUCUUUCUUUUUCUUUUCUUUUCUUUUUUUUUUUAACAAGAUAUCAUUAAAAAACGCACAGGGAAAAAUAAGGAAAGAACUGAGAGCUAUAACUUUGUCCACAGGGGGCGCCAAAAUCAACCCAAACUGACAGCAAGUGUUUUAGAAAUGGACAGUUCAGUAAGUGUGACUGUCAUGUGUUGACACUUAAGGGCAAAAAAAUACCUAAUUUGAGUAAAAGCUGCAUAUGUGUUUCAUUCUGAGAUAUAUUCUAUGAUUUUCUUUAUUCUUGCAAAAUUCAUAUAUAUUUUUCAAGGGGGAGAUAUAUUUAAGGCAUGAAUGGCAAUAAAAUGAGAAACAUCUGCAUCAACAUUAGACAUUUCCAAUACAAUCGUAUUCUUUUUUUUUCUUCGAGUGCUUGAAAGAGUCAGUGUUCAAAACAAGAAAAGGAUUAAAUUAACUUUUGAAUCUUUAUCAAGUGACUGUCACAGAUGCUGGAAGUCUUUUUAUUUCAUUAGUGAAACUUAUCAAAAAUAUUUUUACCAACCGCUGCCUACCUCACCACCAGUGAACAUUUUAAUGACUUCAUGCUAGCUUAUGGAAACUCUUGCUAAUUAUUGCACUUUUGAUUUGAGACUUCUCUCACUCAGGGGUUAUUAAACUGAAGUGUUUUCUGCCACUUUAUCCACUUAACAGGGGCACUGAACUAGUGUAUAUGGAUGAGAUGUUCAUCUCUAUUAAAUGAGCGUUGUGAUGAAGUAGAAAAAAGAAGUUCUUCAAAAAGACAACAUUUUUUUGUCAUUAUUGCAUAUGAAUGAAUGAAUGUACAUUUAGAGGAUAAAGAUCCUUUACAUUCUUAGCUGAGAUUCCUCUGGCUCAAUUGACCCACAGUACAACAUGAAAACCAUUUAUCCCUGCUAUCCGAUUGCGUUCUAUGUACUCUGUUCUCCAUGUGAGGGGUGUUUCAUUGCUUUAGACACACUCCCAGCUUUCAGGUAGAGAGUCAUCAAUCACUGGCCUUCUUCUGACAUUAACUUUUUUGUCAAUGCCACUGUCUCCAGUUUGUCUGCAGACUGAAAGAUUUGAGAGGCACUUUUUAUUUGCACGCUUUUAACUCCGCCCAGCUGGGGUAAUGGAGCUGGUUGUGUGCAAGCAAUUAAUGCAACCACAAUGCCAAAAGUGGUGAUUUGUCAUACCCUGCUGAUACCUAAUCAUUAUAUGGAAUGUAACGCUGCUAAAUGUGCCCAGACUCAAUUGAUGUUAUGAUUCUGUCUGUCCUCAGGUUUCUAGGGUUUUUCCUAGCGCUCCCAUUCCCACGUGUGCCAACAAACACAAGAUGCAGGCAAUAAAUGCACAACAUGCAGGCCUGUUUCCAGUAAUAUGCAUCUCGAUUUUUCUCGUUAACUGUUUUGUGUUUUGAUCCGUGGUCAUGUUUUUGUAAAGCAAUAUGAAAGCCCACACUUGUCCUUGUAAAUUCAUGGGUGUAUAAUGAAACAGUAUGCAAAAUGCACCUAUUGCAAGUUGUGUUGUUCCUGACAUUGAUUUGUUUUGACUUUUUAAGCAACACUGCUGCAAAUUUAUCCUACCUCUUAUUUUAACUCCCUGGACACUCUACCUCCUGUCUGUUCUUGCCCUUAAUAUGAAGGCAUUUCAAUUGCAGUGAAGCCCCUAGGCUGACAGCCAUGAGAUUAGUAUGAAUGUAUUACCCCCUUGGGUGCCAUAGCCUGUAAUAAGUUCCCCAUUAAUCGUAUCCUUUGGGGAAAAUUUGUUUAGGCCUUAAUUACAUAUCAUUAAAAUUGGUCUUGAUUCUCUCAGAUUCAAGCUCAGAAUUAGACUGCACAUUUUCUGCCUCCUUCGCCUUCGGCCAUUCUGCAAAAUUAUGUUACUUUGCCUCUGCACCCGUGCGAUUUCUCAUGGCCUCGAUGAUUCCUCUUAUGUAUUCCAGUUCACUAAAAAACUCGCUUGCUCUCCCUGGUAUGUUUAUUAAUAAUUUCAUACCUUUUGUUUAUGUCUGUGUUUUGCGCAAACUUGUCUAUUUUUCAUUCUUCUUUUGCCUCACUUUACAAAGGUCUUUGAAAUAUGCUUAUACUUUAUUUAUUUACUCAGAGCAGAUAAAAAAGACCCUCCGAACAGCAUAAGCUGAAUCGUUUGAAAUGCAACACCCUCUUUCACUGUAGGUAAAGCUUGUAGAGCCCAGUAAGUCCAUAUUGCAACAAACAAAUCUUUAAUGGAGGCUUAAAUUUCUUUCUGCUUUCUUCAGAGGGACUUUAUAUUUACACUCAUGAAGCUUGAAGCGAAGUCAUGGUUGUCUUUAAAUCCCUCUCCAUCAUUUCGAAAAACACUUUAAACUUCACUGCAGCAUUAUAUUUUUGCGUGUGCAGACAAUGGACUUGUAACCGUAAAAAUGGCCUGGAUCACAUCUAUUCCUACCAUGUUUUCAGUACAGUAAAUACUCAUAGUAUUUAAUGCCAAAAUGUUAAAUCUCUAGACAAUAAUGAUCAAAUAAUAUUUGCAGACCUCAAAGUUAGUCACUUGACCUGGUUAAAAACCCUCUGGCUCUUCAUGCACAGGGUAUUUAGUCUCUGCAGAGCCAAAGAACAUUGCAGUCAACUGCGAAUAAAAAGCUGUCAUAUCGCCCGCUAUCUCUUGGCAUUGGGAGCUGAUUCAUGGUCUGUCUACAUGAAAGUCCUUCAGUUUCAGAGUCGUCUUUGCCACCUCACAAUAAGAUGAUUUGGCACUGACACUGCCGCAUUUGGAAAGCAAGCAUUUCUUGGAUUAUAAGUCCCUGAAAGUAAUCACGAAGAAACUUAGCAUCUAAAUAUGGUGAUUCAGUGUUUUGCUGAUGAAUCAUAACUCAUGUAAAUCCAUUAAACUUAAACCAUGCACCCCAAGCUGCCAUGCUCAUUCACAAGCCCCACAUCCAUUUGUUGGUUAGUUUUUUCUCUUUGUGUGUCUAAUUAAGAUCAGAUUUGAAUCAAAGGGAAAAUCUGAAUUUUCGGUACUUGCUUCCAGUUAAUCAAGCCAGUUUAGCCCUUGUUUUUAUCGCAGCAUUUUCACUCCACAGAAUGUGUGUGAGUGUGUGUAUGUGUGUGUGUUCAUAUACAUAAAUAUUAUUCAAACUGUUACAUUUAUCUUUAAAGUUUGAGCUCUAGCUACACUGUAAAAUGUAAUCAAAGCUUUUGACACAUAUCAAAUUUCUAUUCUGCUAUUGCAUCAAAUCUACAAAGGCACAGCACCAUUGCUUUAAACGCUUACUCUUAGUUUACACAUUAUAAUCUGCAGUGGAUUUGGUGGUCCCCUGAUAUACAAAUAAAAUUAAGCGACUGACUUAAUGAAAUUGCUAUAAAAUCUCAAAUGAACAGAACAGGAUAAUAUUCAUAAGAAUAUUGGAUUUUUAACAGAUCUCGUUUGAAAGCUGCAUGUUAAGUUCAUAUUUGGCAUUUUUUGGUUAUUAUUAUAGCAGUUUUUAAACUUUUAUUCUAGCCUGGGGAAUACCUAUAGAGAGUAUGUUUCAAAGCUACAUGUAUGAAGUUUAAAUGAUCAAAUGAGGCCUGAAAGAGAAGGCGGUCAAGGGCUAAGUAACACCAUCUACUUAAAUGAAGCCAAUGAAAAUACCUGCCGCAGAACAUGUUUACAUUUCCUGAUAGCAUUUAGCAUGAGAGGGGUGCUCAGACAGGAAGACUGUUCACAUAAAGAGCUGUGUGCAGAGCUGUCAGCGGUAACCUUUUCACAGCUUCAUUCCCCCACACAGACCACCUGUAGAGCACUCGACGUUUUCUUGGCAAUGCAUUGUGCUGGAAAAAAAAAAAAAAACACAGUCUGAGCAGAGCUGUACUGUUUUUUAUUUUUUUAUUUCUUUUUUUCCCCCUUCUGUUUUGAUACCCUGUCCCCAGCAUCAAAAGAUAGGAUUUCAAGCUAAGAACAAUGUUUCACAAAGCUCACCAUAAUAAAAGAAAGAGGCAAAAAUAGUCUUUUAAAAAAUGUGACCAUUACAGGAAGAGGGGUAUUUAUAUUGGCCUGCUGUAUGUCAGUUAGGAACCUGGGAAUGGCAACAGUUCAUUGGAGCAGUUUGACUCGAUAUGCCGAUGAUUUAUCAGACCACUGGGACCAUUUGGGCUUGUAAAACAUGAGGUGAAGCCAAGACCAUUAAGCUAUGUAAUCAGCCAUGGUGAGCCUGAUACCACUCUCACUACCCCAAUACAUUUACGGUCUAAGGGCUAAAGCACAUACUUCUUGGUUGUUACUGCUGCUUUUUGGAUGUUUUUUUCCUUCUCUUUGUUUGGGCAAUUAUUUCUUCUUUUCGGGAGCUUAGUGUAUGCCUCAUUUGUGCAAAUUGAGCAUGUGUGGGAACCGAAAAGUUCCUCAGAAAGUGUACUUAGUUUCAUGCCUUUCCUCUGAUUGGAUUUAAUGGUGAUUUUUUUAGUAUAGUGAGGCAACAUGAGAUACUUUGUUGUGAAUCCAAGAAGCAGUAAUUUUACUACCUGAUAGUUUACACACCUAAAACAUCUUCCUUAAUAAUAAUAACAGUUAAAUAGGCCUUUUAAAUGACUAGUUUAAGCUUCCCUUUGAGUGGAAACAGGUUCCCUGGUUUUUAGAUGUUUUUAUUAUUCACAUGGACUGGUUCAACAGCAUGUGAGACUGUUCCCCAAACUACUCUCCAAGCAUUUUAAUGACUAAUUUUACCGCUCAGGGAGACUGCUGUGUUUAUGAGCAACUCUGAUUUUUUUUUUAGGUUCAGCGCAGUGACAUGACGGGUAAACUUUUUAAAUAGAUAUCAGGGCAAUAGUAAUUUGUCACAGGCGUCCUGCCAUACAAGAUUAAUUUCCAUAUGUCAGAGUAUUUCCCUAAAGACUAUUCUUCUUUGUGAGCCUGCUGUAGGUCAGACAAGGAAAAUCUAAAAAUGUAAAGCAAGAAAAGUAUGAUGACUGCAUGAGACACUCAGAUUAUGUCUGUCCUACUGCCCUGAUGAGAACUCCCUUAACACUCUCCAAAGAAACACACAAAAAGUCCCACUGUUUUGGUCUUUUAGUUCAGUAAAUCUACAACAUCAAAGUAUCAUGAUACAAACAUUUGAUUCUUUUACUUGGAUUUAUAAAGUUUAAGGAGUUGAAGACCUUGGCAUCUAUUAAGUUUGAUGGUUUUACUGUUAUUCAUAGCAUUACUUUCUGAAAACCAAUGCAGAGAAAACACUUCAGGACUGUUCAAUAGAAAAAAACUGAAGUACCCUGCUGUUGAAGGUAAAAAAUAUUCAAGAGCAGUUUACAACAAUAUUCUCUCCAAGUUUUAAAAUUCAAGUCAAGCAUGUUGUAACCUUUAAGUAACGUAACACACACAAUAAAAGUAGUUCCUAGUUUCUAGGUGUUUUCAUGUUGGUUAAAUAAAACACAGCAAUUGUGUCUUUGUCCGUCUGUCCUUAGUCAUUGUGUGAGAUGGUGGUGCUGGUUUUCACCCAUGCACUUUUGAAAAUCCUCCCAAAUUUCCUGGUGGGCUGCAUGUACGGAAAGAGCAGAUUUUCCUAUUAUCAAGAAUUUGACAUUUUUACACAUAUCUGCAAUGAAGGUAUGGGGGACGAAAAGCUCACUCUUUGGCUUGUAGACAUAUCAGCGAACUGUUGAGCUGCCAUCAGACAUUUAAAAUAUAAAUCUUAGCUCUGGGCCUGAAGAGGAGAGCUUAAAUAUCAACAGCACACUGUAAUAAUUCAGAUUAAGGAGUAGAGGAUGUAGCAAAAAUAUCUUCCCACCGUUUUUGUGCAGCUGAAUUACGAUCUUGAUUUUUAUCACCAUUCUUUAUCAUGUUCAUUAUUGAAAUUAUUUUGCCAAGUUCUGACUAAAAUUGACUACUACCCAAUUAAAGAAAAAUUUGCUCAAAGAAAAAAGAAAGACUGUUUAUACUUUUUUGGAUAGAAUUUAUGUGUGUGUGUGCUGCUUGUGCCAUGUAGAACUGACAUUGAACAAGGAUGUUGACAUAGAUCAGACUUCUAGUCAUCUGAUCACUAUAUGUUGUUUCCAAGGUUGCAUUCAGUUUGUAAUCAGAUGACUAAAGAUGAAUUUCACUUUACAGUUAGAUUGAAGAGUGACAUUCUUUAAAGUGAAAACACAGUUGAACAAAGAGAUGAAGAAAUCAUCAACUAAUCGAGCCUUAACUGAACGUUUAAACAUACAUCAUUGUACUCAUGCAGGCUGAUUCUGCUGUAAAAAUGUCAUCACCUUACUUACUGUUAACCAUUCAUGUGCAACGCAGAUGUGAGGUGCAGUGUGUAUAAAAACAGCAGAGGCAGUGUAGCGGCUGAGCCAGUAUGACAGAGUGAUCAGCAGUGAGGACAACAAACAAGGGAUCCCAGCGAUGUUUCAGUCGCUGUUGCUGUCAGUCUUGAUCGAAGCAUUAAAACAAGAGUAACCUCAGAGAGUGCCACAAUGUCUAGGUGUGUAAUCUAGCACAUCUGGCAUGAUGAGAAAACAUCACACAUUGUUUAAUAAUUGGCUUUAGCGUAAGUGAGGUCGCCCAUAAAGCAGAGUUUUGAAGCCUAUUGGCGGCAGUUGCCAUGUUUGCAUUGCUGACUCAACCUAUCUUGCAUAUAGGAACGAUUUGUCCACCUGUUAGUCGCAUCAGCUGUGCCUCUGAUUCACCAAUCUUGUAACCUUAAUAACUUGGAAACCAAUGGGUCACUAAAUACUAAUUCUCUUUACAGUGGGUCUGUGAGAUCCUUGAGUUAUUCAAACCAAGGUUUAUCAUACACAUUUUAUCUCAAAACACUGUGAACUCAGGAUCCCUUUUGAAUUAUACUAUUGUCUUUCCAAGACAGCUGAGUAAUGCAGUUCAUUCAUGGUGCAGUGUGGACGGGCCGGUUGUUGCCUGUAGUCUGCAUCCAAGGACUUGGCCUGUGCAUUAUGUACAGUGUUACCAUGCAUCCAUUUGUGGGCAUACAAUGGAUGUCAAGAGAAUGUGCUGAUACGAUGAUCCCUCUGGGUUGCAGAGUCCUCUUUAAUCUAACACACCCCUAUUCUGAGUCUGUAGAUAUGACAAGUAAAAGGCUAACAAUUUAUAUCAACUUGGUAAAGCACAUGUCAGAUCUAAGUUCAUUCCUCUAAACUGCCGACAGGACACCUCCUUUUUCCUUCAGACUGAUUCAAGUAGGAUUCCUCGCCCAAAGGCCAUAUUCAUUUCUGAGAAAGACUAACCUUUGACAAGUAACAAAAAUGGCUAACAGACAUCCAGUAAGAAGACAAGGUGCAGCCUCUGGGUGAACUUUAAAGCAUUCUCUCUGUGACAAAUAACCAGAUAAACCUCGCUAACCAAGGCCUGUUUAAAGACCCACAUUUGUUGGCUUUAAGUUUUAGCAGCCUCAGGAAUGAGAUUUAUUAAAUAAUUAGAUUAAAGGUAUGAUAGAAAGUAAACGUGUGGAUAACUGUGUAUUUUCAAGGUAUGCAUGAGAGUUGUAAAUUUAUACUCGGAUGGAUUUUCUCUGACCCUUUCCCUUUGCUGUUUGCACUUUUAAUACACUAAUGCCCAUGCAUUAAAAGGCUCACGGAUAUAAGAAUGACUCAGCGACUACAAAUCGACUUGAUGUCUCCUUGCCUUUAUCCUCUUAGAGAGAGCUUUCAGGGGGAGGAGGGGGCUGAAAAUGACUAUUCCAUGCCCGUCCAUAAAAGAGGUGUUUUCUUUUGAUGAUGAGGAUAAGAAGAGUACAGGUAGAAGCUGUUAGGGAAAUAUAUAUAUGUCAAGACAUCCGUAUGGGAAGAGCAUUCACUCGACCACCUAUUCACAUGAAUACUGCAGAUUUUAUGAACCCCAAGGUACAACACUUAUGGAGAGGAGAAGAUUUAAGGUCAUGUUCUUCACAUCUGUACAAUACAUCACUGUUAAAGUCAAUACUGUACUGAGCUGUGUAAAUAGUGCGGGGGCGGGAAUGUGAACUUUGCAGUUGUUUGAAAAGGCCAGACAUCGCUUUUUUUUUUGACUCUGAACAUUGACGUAAAUCUUAGUCAAUCUGCACCUUUGUCAAAAAGCUUAUUGUUUCUGUCAUUUUCCCAUAAAAUAAGAAAAACAACCAGAGUGAAUCUCUGAUGUUAAGAUUAGCUGGUUUUUAAUUUUUAAUUAUAGUAGAAUCCCCGAUAUUUAGGGUGCCAGUUUUACCUUGUGGUUCAGUCAUGCACCCCAUGUACAGACGAGUACUAAAGCAAGUUGACCUAAUUAUUUUACAACCUUUGGCUUCUUUCCUGUCCCGUUUGUCACUUCACAUUCUCUAGUCUGGUUUCAUGAUCUUAAAACUGUCUUUUCUUCUCUGAAUAAAGGCCUAAAAGGAGCCUAUAAAAUCUUUUAACUUUAUAAAGAUAACUCUAGAUUGUUUUUCCUGUGUUAGACUGCAGGAAAGCCAAUAUAAGGACUCGAGGUUAUCAGACAUGACCUCUUGUAAAUUGUCAGAGGCACAUAUUUGAUAUUCUAAGGCAUCGAAAGUAACUCGCAAAAAAUUUAAUUCCUCAUGUAUCCCAAAACUGUUGCCCUGAGAUCGAGGAUUUGUAAACCUCUCGAAAAAUGAAAGCAGUUUAGAAACAAAUACUGUAUAAUAGUCAGAAUAGACCAGCUGCUAUAUGCCUGCAUCAAUCUGGUACACCCCCAAGUUGUAGGUUCAUCCAAUGAGACUCUUUCCAGCCUUCCCCUCUGGUUUUUCCAUUUCUCUGUGGGAGGUUGGAGAGCAAAGGAAGGAAGCCUUUCGUGGUUCACUUGAACUUGAGUGCAAUCCAAGACCUUAUCAGCGUGCAGCUGCCUCAGACAACUGAAGUACAUGUGUUUGAGAACGUGCUACAAGCCAGUUCAUGUUGGUCAUCAGUGCCCUAUAACCAUUAAACUCAUGCUUGUUGAGUAAUGAUGUCGAAGUAGGACGAAAAUUAAUUUCAUCUUUAUGCACUACCAUAACUUUUGUAUCUGAGAAAUAGCCUGUGCACUUAAAUUCGCACUGAAAAAACAGGAAUUAAUUCACUUUUCUUAUUUUAUUUGGAAAUAACUCACAAAAAUUUGAGGGUUUUUAGUUUUUGUUAAAUAAAGAAAUUCAUAUAAGCUUGUUCUACUGAGUUAUAGUGAUAUUAAGACAUGGCAGAUGCACAUUGUGCAGCACUGACCCUGUGGAAGAGACUUUUCUCUAUCCGCGAGGCUUUGAACAGUGGCCAGAUAGCCUGCUGUGACCGAGUGCAGCAGGAGACUUUGCUGCUGUGGAAGUCAAUGGCCUCUGCUGGGAGAAGAAACAAGAGAGCUGCCGAGACAGGAAUCAGGAUCCACCUACCCUCUCCAAGAUGUGUCAGUAAAGGUGCCAGACUGGAAAUGUGUAAGCCCUGGCUUUAAUGCCACAUGACAACAAAGUGCAAAGAUUUAUGGGUCUGUGUGCAAACGGAUGUGUCCCAAGAGAAAAAAGAUUACUUGGGACAUGAUACGAGGCAAAUGUAUUUAUAAAUGUUUAGCUUUUUGGAUCUGUCAGUAGUGGGUCCUGAAAUCAAGAAAUUAGUUAUUUUUGGAGCAUAAUUUCCCUCCUCAGUGAAACGCUUGUCACAGUUGAAUAUUUUGCAAGUCCAGGGAGUGUGAAUUCGAUCUUUAUAUCCUGUCAGUGCAUAUUAGUAUUCACAAUCUGUGGCUUAAAGUUCAGGGUCACUGGAAACUAGAAGCAUUCCCAAAUAUGUGUUUUAGGAAUUUGCACCUGAUACAUUAAAUAACUUUCUCAUGGUUAACAUUUAAAAAUAUGUCAGUAGUGCAGUCUGAUGUUAUUUGGUCUGUUAUUCAUGGAGAGAACAUCUUGAUAAUAAGGUGUGUUACCUUCAUAUGCAAAGGUAGCAUGAAGGCCAAGUCAAUACAAACAGCAUCGCAUAGAAACUGUUUUGGUUGGUGUUGCUAGGCAACACUGGCAGCCAAACAAUAGCACACAGCCAUAUAUUUGGAGCCAGGGGUGCUGAACGCCACAGCACAACAUGAAGUCUGUAUUUAGCUGUAUUAGCUUAUCCUUUUUACUGGAGUGAGGUUGAACAGUGAAGCACGAGCCAAAAUCACAAUGAAAACAUCUUCACCGCUUAAUCAAACAAACAUGCUUCAUGGCCCUACUAUGUAGUUUUUCUAUCUUGACUCCUAUGUUUGUGCUUUUACAUAACAAUAGGGCUGCAGCUAUCGAUUAUUUUAGUAAUCGAGUACUCUAUCGAUUAAUCUGUCGAUUAAUCGAGUAAUCGGAUAAGAAAUGUUUUGCUCUCACUGUAAUACUUUGCAUUGAAUCACGUUUGCCUCAUUAAAAACCAUCAGUAACACACAAAACUGAAAUAGGCCAGGUCUUUCAAAUGAAUAUUUUUACUGCAUAAAUCAGGAACCAAAAGUUUUACAUUUUACCAUGUAGUUCACAUGAAACUACUGAAGGCAAGGUCUGCAGAUGGUCUUUUAAUUGCUAUGGUAAUGAUCUUUGCAGUUUUCACUAAACCAGUCACAACUAUUUCCAGGCUUUGGAUCUAAUUUUACUUGUUUAAUUAAUAGGCUGAAAUAAUAUAAUUCUUGGAUACUAACAUAAUUUGACAAGCAAAUGUACAUUUAUUCAAUAUAUAAAAGUGUUACAUUUUUAUUUACAUGUUGUUGUGUGUUGGUCAUUUUGCAGCCCUCUGCUGCUCAUCACACGCCUAGCAGGUGGUGUAUAGCAUUAUCACCAUGGAUACACGGAUGUUUGUGUGAUUUUUUUCAUCCACUGCCGCCCGGUUUGUGUCGUGUAGAUGUUGAUUAUGAAAACACUUCGCAAUAAUUUGGAAACGUGAAGGGGGAGCUGCUGCUGCCCGGUGUUUACGGUAAAUAGACGCAAACACCGACCAAGUGGACGCUUCGGUCUCCGAAAACGCCGAGACAAAUUUACAAACAGCCACUAUUUCAAACAACUGGGCUCAUAAUCGUGAUGUAAACACUUACUUUCUCGCUAGAAAAAAUAUUAUUAUUGAAUGAAUUUAUAUAAUUUGUCCGGUAUGCAGUCGUUCUUUGUAGCUUGUGGUAGGACUAUUUAAAUUUUCCCGGCGCUGCGUCCGGCCGGCACGAAAUGCAUUCUGGGGUAUUUAGUAUGUAUGUGUGUAAACGCUCGGGCAGCCGCGGCAUACUCAAAUCAUCUUUGAGUAGUCAGUAGGCAGUAGCUACUGCUUGAGUAGGUAAGUAGAUAGCAGGCAGUAUGCCAUUUCGGACACAGCUUCUGUCUGUCCUCGUUUCCCUCCAUGAUUGAACCAAACGCGCGGCAGCGGAAGGAGCGGAAAGAGCACGCUUCUGCGCAACAGAAAUAACCGUCCGUGUCAAACACCGUGCGCUGCACAUGGUUCCGGAUUUAAACGAUUCCUCGAGGCAUAUAAUUUGCCUCGAGGAAUUUUAUUAAUCGAGUUACUCGAGUUACUCGAGUAAUCGUUUCAGCCCUACAUAACAAUGAAAACUUUGUUUUUGUUGUCAUGUAAAUUCUGGGUUAGCGUUUCUGCAGUUUGUUCCAUACAAAGUCAUGCUGUUGCUUGGUGGACUUUGCAUGACAAGAGGACGCAUAUGUCUCAGGUUAUUUAUUUUUUUAAUUCAAGUAGAUGGCACACUGAACUCCAACAGAUACAAGGAAGCACAACAUAUAAAGGGACUCUUGUACCUUGAAUAUAUAAUGCAAGAUCAAAGUAAAGAAAGUGUGAUUUUGUUUUUUGAACUUAAGAAAACUGAUGAUUGAAAACCAAUGAUAGAUUUAUCUGCUAGUACAAUAACACCCUUUUGAUUUAGUUAAAUUAGAAUAAGUGAAAGCUGAGGUUUCUGCUGUUUAAUGCUGUCAUUUAGGGCUGGGCGAUAAACCGAAGAUUUACAGAUACUGAAAUUUAUGAAAACGACCAACGUCAUUUUGCCCAAGUCAAUAUGUUGGGUGUCAAAAUAAAAAAUUAUUGAUAAAGGUUGGUUUUGGAUGUGUGUAGGUAGGCUAUGGUCUCAUUUAAGAUGUUGUCCUACGUCGGAGAUGUUACUCCACCCCAUCCCAUCCAGUCCGUAACAAAGAGGGAAAGACGGGUGAGGAGAUGGAGGACGGUUCAAAAGUUGUAGUGGCUGGAGUGGUGGCUGAAGUAGACGAAGUUAAUGUGGGAGGGGGGAACAGCUUGUCGAGUAGUUAUCAUCCCUUUAUCGCAAUCGAGGUGAACUGCUCAAUAUAUCCUGAUAUUGGUUUGUGGCCAUAUUGCUCAGCCCUACUGCCAUUGCUUGGUUCACAAAAACAAGAAAAUAUACUCUUUUUAAACUCAACAAUCUUACUGAUAAUCACAAAAGAUACAAGAAUUACAAAUUUAAUUCAAACUAGGAAGUGAGUUUACAGUGAUCUUUUAAAGGUGUCAACUCAGGGAUGAAUGGAUGAUGAGUGAAGAGUUUUCCAUUAAAAAAAUAUAAAGACAGAUAUUUCGAGACAAUGGAAGAACAGCAUGGUACCAGGAGACUGGAGCGCAAAAAAGAGUGUGUUGUAGCCUGGUCUUAAAAUAUACCAGCCAUGUGCUCUCAGUUUGCCCUAAAGAAACCAUGAAACCCACCCACUACCAAUCUCCAAAAGAGACCAACACAGAAACUGAAAGGGGGGAUGCAGUGAAGAAAGGGCUGCAAAAGAGGGAAUGCUAUCACAAACAGAAAACCUUGUUUUCAUAUGUGAGGUUUUAUGUUGGCUGUGAUUUUCAAAGCUAAGCCAUGGCAGUAGAAACAGACAUUUUUCAAAAGGUAUUGUAAGAUUUGAUGCUCUGAUUCUGGUGCCUUCCUGUUUAGAAGGAGAACUUGUGGGCCUUUCUAGUGAGAUACAGUUUUACUAUCUUGACAAGACAAAAGUCACACUCACUGUAUUAUGGUCAUCAGGAUCUCUGUGCACAUUCUCGCCGUCUCUGUGAAUGCAAAUGUGAUAAUGAGUGAAAUCACACAGAUGGACACUCAUUGUUAAAUGCUUAGUCAGACAAACGAAGGCUUCAACCCCGACUUUACACAUGACACCAGUAGUAAUUUCUUCAGGGGUUACUGCAAAAGUAAAAUAAGGGUCUCUCGGAAGUCAGAGCAAAAGAAAGGUCCAUUGUUCUGGACAAAGUUGCAAUGACCACCAGAUCCCCUCUCUGUAGGGGGAAUGACUGACGCCCUCAAUGGCUCACUAACUAAAAGAAUAUUAGUCUUGGACAAUGCUUAAUGCACGGGUGGAUUUCAUAUUGUGAUACAUUAACCACUCUGCAAACCUUUGAUUUAGCUCCUUUGUCAGAUGUGUUUGCAGUAUUCAGUGGAAAUGACUUCAGUUCAUCCUCUGUUUGCUGUUCUGGUAGUUAAUGAUGUAGUAGCAGAGGGAAUAAUGCUGGGUCCACACACUGCUUUAUUCAUCUUUUUACCUCAGUCUAACUCACUUUCAAAGGCAAGAUGUGCAAAACAUGGUAGCUGAUGAAAGGAGAGAAAAAAGAAUAGCUAGCAGGUUUUAUUUAUGGAUACACCAAGGCUCUUUUUUUUUCUCUUUUGACCAGCCCCAGCUAUGGGCAUUGUGGCCACCAGUGAAUUAUUCUACACUCUCUAAAAUGAUGAUAUACACCAGGCUUUGUUGUGGGGGGUCGGGGGUUCUGUGAUGGUGUAAGCUUCCCUCUGCAGUUGUUUGGUCUGACCUCUCCUCCCCAUCAGUGACAUACCAUUAACUACUACACAUGCUCCUCUGUACACUAACAUCCCUCGUCAGCGCAGGCAAUAUAUUUUGUUUGUCUUUUUCAAAGGUGGCACUACCUGCACCGUUCUGCAAGCUGCUCGUCAGGCUCCCCUGCUUACCAUACAGUAUGGUAAUGGGACUUACAGAUGUCCUUUAAAGGAUGAGAAGGAAGGAGUUUAUUUUGUAGUCAUGUCACAUUACUGUUCCUUCACAACUGAUGUUAGCUGCUGACAGUUGCAAUUAAGUGUAAAAUAACAUGCUGUUCCUUUGCCGUCAAAGUAAAGGGCUCGGGCAGAAUGCCUUCACCCCAGAAUGGCCGGAGGGAUAACUCUUGUGCACAGUCCCAUUUAAUAGAGAUGGUGGAGUGUGCCAUUGUGCUGGCAAAGAGGAAAAAAAAGAGUUGCUAGUUUCACUUUUAUUUCACUUUUUUUUCUUCUGUUUUGACACUUAUGCAGUCUCUCUCACUCCCUCUCUCUCAUUCUUCUCUGCACAAUGUCUCUCUGUGUCAGUAGAGGGCUGGAAACUCAUCUGACACUCAAGCUGAGAUUUAAUGUAAAAGUGUAAUAAGAGCUUUGAAGAGAGUCAGCUCUCUUCUAAAACGCCGUCCCCUCAGAAUUCACUGUUUUUUGGAGAGUAUUGUUAUGAGGUUGUUGAGGCAAGGCUGCGUCUCUCCAGUGAGAGUGGCGUCCAACAUAUUGGCCUGUCGUCCUCAGUGAUGAUAGGGCUCAUAUUUUACAGGAGUUGCGCUCUGAGCAAAACUGAAAGGUGUUUGUGCACAAUGGGAGAGCAAGGGGGGCAUGGAGUCAUGGUGAUGGCCCCUUUAUUCUCAGCUGUCAAUUUAAACGUUGAUAUAAGUGUUUGGGUUCCCAUGGCAUCAAGAAUAAAUUGACUUUUUAGUAUCCAAGAGGGGGGCACAUGUUUUUCUUAUACCUGAAGUUACAAAUCUAAAUCCCCUUUUUGAUCAAACAUCCGCCUCACAAAGGUGUCUUUACUCUGUUUUGCAUAACCAGCUGCAAACUAUAGCCUACGUUACCAUACUAAUUUUCCAGCUAUUGCAGAUGAAUGUGGGUCAUUUUGACCAAGUUAUGGAAGUUUGUGGUUAGGAUUUAGGAUUAAGGAUUUUUCUUUCUUUUCAAAUCUUUUUAAAUACAAUAUGCAUCAGGGUUAAGGAACAUUUACAUGUAAAGGCAUAGGAUUAGCCAGGUGGCUAAUUUCCAUCCUCAGUCCCAUUCACAGGUUGGUGUCAAUAUAUAAAAACAAAAACAAACAUCAAUAAUAGGAGUGAAACACACAGAGCAUAUCACAUAUGACACAUGAACUGCUGCUUCUUGAAAUGUGUAAAAGUUAGACAAGUUUUUUGAGGAAUAACUGGAAUAUUAAACAACUUACUGUUGUGAAGAUAUUGCAAGAAAACAACCUGACCAAAUCAUGUUUGAUUAUUGACAUCACUGCGCUCACAGUUACAUACCAUUUAAAAAAUCCUUUGGCGCAAAUAUCCUUGCCUAGACUUUUGUGCCCACAUAUAACAUGCAUGCAUCAAAGUGCAAAUUAAUGGAUUUAGCUAUCUUAAUUAUUUUCUUUUUGCAUUCCGCUAUCAUUUCAAGCUUACAAAACAGAAGGGUCAAGGUCAGAAACAAAGUGCAUUUUUGUAUCAAGACAAGGAAGAAAAUGUGUGUCUGGAUUUUUCGUGUAGAGAGGGAGUCACAGUUGUGAAAGCACAGAACUCUUCAGAAUUCUGUUUCUCUUAAGUAUUUAAGUAUACCUUAUCCUGGGGUAUCAAGAAAUUUGUGUUUGUCAUAUCUGCGUUGAUAAAUCUUGAAAAUCCUGCCAUGAGUGAAAUCUCUUUAAGUACUCUUCAGGGUUUGUUCCAAGGCUGUUGUAUUUAAUGAUAUUUUUCACAGAUAAUCCUGUUUAUAACUGAAAGUUGUUUGUCAGUCAUCUCUACGCAUAAAUUUGUAAUCACAAUGGAUGGCAUUGAGCAGAUAUACACUGUGAUUUUCUUUGAGUUUGUUGUAAAUCCCUAUAAGAAUGUGGUUGUGUGUUGUGCAUGAUCAAUUGUGCGCCCACAACAAGCCAAGUGAGAAGGGAUAGCUGAGCGGCGCCAAGCUGCGUCAGCCCUAAUCUGUCUCUUGACAGUCCAACCUUAUUUCGCAGCAGAAUACCCUUAUUGAUCUCCCAGCCUGUUACACAAAUAAAUAAAUAAGUCAACUACACUGCACCUGAGUUCACAACCUGCCCUUGACGAUACUAUGAGCAUGUGUGUGUAGAGGUGGAGGGGUUGCAGUUGUGCAGCAGGGGAGCAGAGAGUCAGGAAGGGUUCUGCAUUGUUGAUCCAGUAUGACAUUGAUAGACAGCAGCUGAAGGAAAGCUGAUAGCCAUGUUUGGCUUGCUGUUUUUUAAAGGACGGACGUGACUGCUGAUCCAAAGUUGACCGAGCAUGAAUUCAGCAGGUGAUCGCCCCAAGUGGUUGUGCCGAAUAGAGGUGAGGAAGGAAACUUUUCACAUAUGACUUGCUUGACUUUCCAUCUUUUCCACCAUUAUUAUUCUCCCCUUGAACUUCUUGUUUCUGGCAGAGUUAUUUUUACAUGUUUCAGUUUCUCUUUGUUGAACACAGCCAUACAUGUUGCUUAUUCUUUCUGCACCAACUCUUGGGCAAAUGCCAAGCUCCCAUUAUAAAAACUGUUUCUUUUUACUCACAAAUAGAGUCAAAAUAUAGAGUAGAUGUAACUGUAUUCUCACACCAAUAGUUCACCUAACUGGACAAAAUAAAAUAUCUGCUUUGAUGGGCUCUGUUAAUUUAUUUAGUUGUUUGUAUUUUCUUAACUUAUCACUUCAAACAAAUUAAAAGAAAUAAAUAAAGUAAAUUAAAUACAUUAAAACAUCCUCUGUACUUUUGUGUCCGUAGGUGCAAAAAUGUUUGGGAAAUACAAUCAAGUGUCUCUGACAGAAACUGUCUCAAGUUUCUCUUUCUGCCCAGUGCUAGAAACUUUACCCUGGGACCCCAAGGGUCUCAGAGAGUACUUAGCGUUGUGUCAAAUCCUAACAAAAAUAAUAUCACAAGCUGUCAGCUAUCUUGCUACAAAAGGUCUCUGGUUAGCCUCACUUUUCACAGUGUCACUUGACACUCUUACAUGGGGCCUACAGCAGCUGCUGUUUUUCCAAGCAAAACAACAUAAGCCAGCUUAAAAAAAAACAAGUAAAAGCCCCUGACAAAUUAAUCUUAAACGGGUACUUAAGUACAAAAAAAUUGCACUGUUUUGAGACUGCUUUUUCCAUGGCUUCUUCUAUUCCCAGUUACGUCUACAGACACUGAAGCUUCAUGGGUAGGCAUAAGAAAAUAAACAGUGGUAAGAGGUUUCCAGUGCAAGGGUUAAUGUAAGAAGGUUACUGAAUAGAACCACUCCAAGUUGAUCCAGGUCCUUCAAUGUGUUGUAUUAGGGUCACCUGACCAUGUCAAGGUUCAAUUUAGCAAAAUGACCCACUUGGGUGAACUUUAUAGUAUCUUGUUUCACACCCAGCUAAUGAUACAAGCAAGUUCAUCAUUAAUUUGAGGAUGAUUUUAAAAUUGAGUCAGUUUGCACGUUGGCCUAUAUUACUGUUAUGAAUAUAAAUUAAUUAGUAUUUCCAAUUACAGUAGAGCCUUUAUCUCAGGCUGCUUUACUGUUAUAUAUAUAUAUAUAACAUUAAACAGGUUCGGACUUAAUUCUAUGGCAGACUGUCUGCUGAGAAUUAUAGAAGACUUUAAAAUGUCCUAUCAAAACAUUAAGCAAGAGCAUGUGAUAAAUAUUUUAGAAAAAUGGACAGAUGGCAACUAUUUCCAAAAGGAAUCCAUUCAUGUGUACAUUCCCCACUAUAAUUUACUUUAUUCAUUAGUCUGUUUCUGUCAAUUUCAGCCAUGAAAAACUAAACUCUAUAUUUGAGCUGCUUUAGAAGAUUGAUGGAAAGUAAAGAAACAGUAUAAAAUAAGAGACAGGCCAUCAUGCUUUGCUAAGUGAGUUGUAUUCCCUCAAACUGGCUGAGCCCUGAGUUGUUAAAGACUAAUUAAUUCAAGAACAAACGUCCCCAAAGGCUGCAAUUAAUGAUAAACUUAUUAGACAUGAUGGUGCCCAUGAGGUCUGGCUCUCAUCGUGGCGUCCACGCUCCUGGUGGUGUUACUUACGCAGCUGUCAUAGAAAUAUAUUAAGAAAAGGAACAAAAUCUAUACGUGUUGGUGUGUCUGUUCGGACACAUGUAUAAGUCUGUUCGAUUUAUAAAGGCAGUCCCAGCCCUCAAAUACCCCUUAACUCUGGCCUAUCACUUGACAUUUGGCACGAUGCUUAGAAGUCCUCAUUGACAUCAUGGCCGUCUGUGGUAAAAGAAUAUAAAUGUUACAUAUCGACAAGUGUUGUGUGUGCGCUUUCUAAUGAGUCUGUCAAAACUGAAGUCUCACGAGACAUCCUUCACGCUGCCUGACGGAGACUGUCAAUGCUGAAAAAUGAGGGCUGAUUUCCUGACCUCCUUUCUUGCUUAACUCUUUCAGACUCAAACAGCUGCACCCGGGCCAUUUACAAAUUAGUGUAAAUGUCCCCCUGAGCACAGUCACCAAAACUUUCCACACUAAACAAGGAAGUGUGUGAGUGUAUGUGGAGGAAAGAGGGAAAGAAAGGACUGCCAAAGAAAAAUAAGAUAUGACUCUCACUUCACGCCGAGUUGCCUGACACCUCACCAGUUUCACUUCAGUUUUACAUCCCCUCACAUACCCUUCACCGCUCUGGCCAGCUGUGCUCUAAUGACACCUGACAACACCAGAGAUGCAGAGUCAGUGACAACAGAUGUGUACAAUUUUUGUGCAGUACGUAGCACUGAUGCUAAUGUUACAUCUGAGACUUACAUACUUUUAACAAGCAAUUACAGCUUUAUUUCAUUUCCUUAUGUAUCCCCAUAUCCCCAUAAUUGUGUAGCAAUUUAUUGAAAGGAUUGCUAUACUACAUUUAAAUAAGAACGUUUUACAAGAAAAUGUAGGUCAAAAUGAAGACACUUUGAGUACGAAUAAAGGAGAUGGUCUUAUGCUGUGUUCCAGUUGUACUCAGAAGUCAGAGUUUCCGAGCUCUGAGUCGGAAAUUAAUCUGGAACGCCCCCCUGAAGUUGGAUCUCCGACUCAGGAAAUUCGGAAGAUCCUCACCUACCCCGACUUGACAACAAUGUCAUUAUCGAAGGUGGCAGCACAGUGCAUCAACAGUAAAGUGUAACUGUUAAAGCUCUUGUAAUGUCUUAUUCAUUAGCACUUCUGUUUUGUUUUUUUGUGUAAUUAAACAAGUGGUAUAUGUUGUACUGCCCAACGUCUAACUGUGAACACGGUGCUAUGGUGUUUGGUAGAGUCAAAUACUGUGUUAUGCGUUAUUUACAACCGGUAUCGCUAACAACAACAACUAACUACAGCUGAGAAUGGCUAACAACAACUUAGAAUCCAUCGUGUUUUUUUGACUUGUUAACUGGAACGCCGUCAACUCUGGUGUAGUGUCAUUCCCAGCUCCAACAUCCAACUUCUGAGGUAACUGGAACGCAGCAUUAAUUGGUAAACGUCCACAUUUGCAGGUAAUAAUGUAAGGUAUGCCUUAAUAGUCAGCCGCUUGACCAAACUCCCAAAAAUAUGUUUUUUUUAAAAAAGGCCCCUUUCCUAAAUUCUUUUGUAGAUUCAUAGCUUCCCAGAGUCUCUUAUUAAUCUCCUCAGUCCAAUAAGUAUUGUAACUUUCCAACACGAGGAAAAACACAGUCAUGCCCAAUUUAAGGUGAGGUGCAGAGAGAUAUCAGAAGUAAGGCUGAGAUUGAACUCAUACUCUGCUUUUCAUUCAUCUACUAGAUUCUUUCAUCACUUUUGGUCUGUACAACUGAGUGCAAUACAAUGAAUUCCUUUGGGGACAAUCUGCCCAAGAGUGUGUGCCCAAAUCUCCAUCUGUAUUAAACAUUGCAUCAAGAUUACAAAGAAUUGCAAAAUAAUAUGGAUUUCUUUUCAGAGGUCAGGAGAGCUAUAAGUAACACUGCUGAGCUUUGAUCGUACAAAUAUCUCAGCGUGGACAACUGCAGCCUUGCACACAGAAAGCUGAUGUGCAUGUGCCUAUGGUCUUCUGUGUGUUUGUAUUUCACACAUGCAUGUGCAACCAUGAGAUGCAGAUUUUUUUAGCUAGGGACAGCCUCUUCUCUGUUUUUUCUGUUGUUUUUAAUUAAAAAAAAGGUGGAGGUUACAAAAAUUAGGACACAGUGUGUGAAAUGUAGCACAUGCACAAAAUAUUCUCCUGUAAUAGACUGUGUGGAAUAGCGUAAGUCGACACGGACAUAUGUGGACAACAAGGAGCAUCUCUCCUGGCUGUUUGAUUUGAAUGCAUACCAUGUCAGGUGAGCACAUUUGUAAAUACUUCCCUUUAUUAUUACCUUGAAACGCAACAUUUUCCUGUCAGUGGUUGUACUUGGACUGACAGUGGUAUUUCACAACUAAUACUUACCAAUUGCUAAACACUAAAUGUUGAAAUAAGCAGUGCUCUUGCCUUUAUAGAAGGCAGGUUGAACCAUCACUUGAAAACAGAUAUCAAGUCUGUACUGAUAAUUACAUGCUUUUAGUCCCCACUGUGUCCAGUCCGUGUGUGCCCAUCUUUGCGUGAGACAUCCUCCAGCCACUCUCUGAGCCUCUCAGUAGUUCAAGAAAAAUAAUCUCUCUGAAAGUGCAAAAAGUUUAAUCCAACUUCCAGUUUAUUGAAACGCCUCUGUAUGACAUCCACCUUCACUUCCCAGCCCCUUGCUUCCUGCCUUGGAAAUUGAGUGUGCAUGGGAGAGUCCAUGUCUCACUGUGAAACCCAGCUAAAUUAGGAGUCAGACUGGUUGUGGGCGAGGGGGAUGUGGUUGUGGUGGGUUGUGCUGCUGCCGCCAAAGGGUGUGUCAGGGCAAUUUAUUAGCUUGCUAUGCAUGCAUGUGUGCGAGUGUGUGCAGGCGUGUGCGCUCUCAGCCCUUGGCAGCAUAGCAAACUCAAUGGCUGAAGCACAGCUGUACCACUAUUCUAAUAUGGAGUCAUUAUAGCUAUUCACGGGGUGCCUCCAGUUAAUUCACAAAUUUGACCAUAACAGCCAACUUUUCGGGAUGAGUAUCUUGUGGUCAAUACUAUUUUUCUGAUACAGUGACCUGAAGCAAUUGUGUAAUUUUAGUACUUUGCCUGGUUCAAGUGUACCACUUAGACUUUGCAUUGCAUGCAGUAGCUAACAGGUGUUCAACAUAAAAACAUAGAUUGGUCCCUGUGGGAGGGAGACUUUGAGCACAUGCUGAAGUGCUGUGGUGCUGCCAGUGAUGUAGUUUCUCUGUGUUUGUGUAUGUAUGCGACUACUUGGGUAUGUGUAAUUACAUGUUAAUGACCCCUCCCUCGUAUUCAGCUGUGUGAGAGCACAGUCGCAGUAAUCUAAUCGAUGCUUAAACAGGAGAAACUUAGUAAUAAGGUUUAUUUAAGACACCUGCUUUGCUCCAAACCCCCCUUUAGCUUUCUUCAGAGGCAAAAACAGAUGCUGGGGGACACUUAGCCUGCAAAAUGCCAACUGCAAGAGAUGUUCAUUUAGGUUGCAGAGCACAAAAACAAACCAAAACCACAAAAGUACAAACAACAUCGCUAUCAGAGUCUGUGAGCACCUGCAGGUCUUGCUCAUGCUGGAACAUUUUAAUUGACCAAGGAAAAAAAAGGAAAAAAAAAAAAAAAAGCUGCGGAGACAGUGUAGAGCUUGUACAGGCACCCCCACCUUGUCUGAACCAACGGUUGCUUCCAAAGCCCCAUCAGCAAUCCUUUGCUGUAAUGAGGGAGUUUUGGGGUAAAAUUGGGAGAUGGUGUCAGUUUAUCGUCUCCGAGUCGAGGGUCCUGCUGUCCAAAAUGUGGAAUAGUGGGAGAGAGGUGCUGUCAAAACAUGAUAGGCACAGACAUCAGCACAAAGUUAGAGAGAGAGGGGAUCCAAGUCACUAUGGAAAGACACACAGUUUCUUUAAACACCCCACAAAUGAAGUCUCUGUAGACUAUUAUGAGGCAUAAAGCGACACUUUUGACACACUUCCGAAUCAGUAGCUUUAGCAACACAAGCAAUUUUGAUUGCUUAGGCUACACCGACGGAAGAACCAAAGCCCCUUGUUUGUCAUUUACUUUGAAAGUAAUCAUGGCUAACCCAGGCACAGCGGAGGUAAUAAAUAUUUAUACCCCUUUUUUUUUUUUUUUGGAAAUGUAAACCAUAUAAAUUUUUACCCACCUUUACUUUUAGAGCAACUUGCCCUUGUUGAUAACAGUAUCAUUUAAAUGUAUUUUCUCUCCAUUUUCGUUGUUUUCCCUCUCCCAUUAUCUCUCUCCCAUUCCUCCCCCCUAACACAAUGUUAACAAGCUCCUUUCUGCCCUAUCUGGUACGGGUGAGACAGCUCCACAAAAUGACAAGGUGAGAGGGUGCUGUGUGUGUUUUUCUGUAAUCUAUAUCUAUCCUCCAGCAUCUAUGCGUGGAUGUGUUUCUUGCACUGUGGGUCGUAUGUGACCACCGGCCUGCUGUCAGGGCUCAUGUUGCCCCCAACGGUAACAAUAAUCAUGGGAUUUGAUUGCCAGCUCCCUCAGCCUGUGUAAUUGAUGAGUCCAAUAUUUACUCUGUUACCUGUGUGUUGUAAACAUUCAUUACAGGGUUCCUUCCCAGAUAGGUGUGCAGCACAGGAGAAUGGGACGUAUCCAGCCUGCAGGGACCAGCUGUCAGUUUGACUAAUGACAGAAAUGAAUAAAACCUCAUAAUUACUUUAGAAAAAACGACAGUCUCCACCUUAUCUCAGGCCAAUAUGCAUUUUAAAAAUUUUUGGCGGGUUUAUUAAAUUCUGCCCCCACCUCCACCUCCACCCCCAUAUCCCCCCAUUCCCACCCCCUCCACGGUAAUACAUUACAGACAGAGGCAAGUUCUCAAAUUUCAAAUUUAAUUUUCUACUCGCCAUACACACAAGCUCCAUAAUCAGAUUGGGACAUUAUUGUGUUUCUAUUGACAUUAGCAUUGUUAUUAUUUUGUACUGUGUAAAUAUCAGUAACCAGAGCACGCCUGGUUGCUUUGCCAGGAAGGGAUUAUUUUGUAUAUUUAUUUUGUUCUAACGCUCCCCAAAAAAAUAUCCUUUCAAGAUUACAUCUGAUGCAUUACAUUAUCAAGAGAUACUGUCUCUGUAUGCUAUGAUGUGGUAUCAUUUUGAUGUAGAGCUGCACAAAUUAAAUUGGAUACCUGACGUUUUCAUGUCUGCUUUAUUGUGACACCCUAUACAGGUGACUCUGCAACCGGGGACCUACAGAGCCACAAAAUGAGGUAGCAGUGAGACACAUCGCAUUUGCUAUUAUACAGAAGGCCACCGCAGGUCAGUCCAUGCUUUUAGAGCGCCUUCUUGUGUGCGUUUUUGCGGGUGUGUGUGUGCAUAAUUGGAUAAGUCUCCAAUAAUGCGUAUGUGUUUUUAAGUUGGUGCACUGUGAACUGCAUGCACUAAGUCUCAGGAACAGGCAGCGGUGCAGUGAAGUGCAAAGCUCUCAGCCAAAUCAGGUAUUCAAGAUAGAGGGAUGGAGAGAUAGAUUAAUGGCAGCAGGGGUGGAGGGUGAGUAGAGGGAAGGGGUGGGGGGGGGACUGAUAUGAGGAGAGACAGUGCAGUGAUAUACAGUAGGCCCUACUUAGACAAGUCGACUCCUCUAUGCCAUUAGGGCCUAACAGGGGGCAGACUGUGGGGGAGCCAUGGUGGGAGUAAAAAAGAGAGAGCUGCUUUCAAAUAAACAGGAACAUCGGCCUCAGAGUGUGCAUGUGCAUGUUUUUACACGACCCUUGCUCACUCGCACCAUCCCUAUUUCUGUGCUGCUUUUCCAAACACACAUGAUACACUGAAUAUCAUACGAAACUCGACUCAACUUGAUUCCAUUUGAGUAGCUAUUCUCUAAUGUCUUUUUUGCCGGGUGGAAUCCCACAUAGAAGCGUGUAAUACGCCAUAUUUGUGUCCUAUGGAGGCAGACAGCUGAUCGUGUCCAUUCGUCAUGCUGUCAAGUUAAUUACUAGAUUGAAAAGGAGAAUGAGAUUACCCCCUCCCCUUUCCAACGGACACUCACACCUCCACACUGCCAACACACACACAGAUACACACACACUCACACUGAAGUGUCAGAAGGAAAUUUUCACUGUGCCAUAAUCAUAACUUACCAGAGAAGAGUGAGCUGCAGAGGAGGUAAGGGGAAGAAAUUGCACAAGGUCAGGCUGCUUAUUUUCUUCAACUGUAUUUGUGUGUGAGUGUGAGUGUGAGUGUGUGUGGGUGUGUGUGUGUGUUGAAAUAAGUGAUGCAGCAGGUUACAUUUACAUAUUUUACCUCAUAAGAGCACUUCUUUUGGUUCCUUUGAAGGUAUUUUAAAGACUGUUCUUUAGUUUCAUUCCUGCUCUCCUGCCCACUGAGAAAGCAGCUCUUUGUCACAGGUGAAAAGUUACUCUUCUGCUCUUGAACUGUGUGCUCUGUGAAGAAGUUUGCGUCUGUACUUGUGCUAUCAAAGGGGACACUUUGAAAAAGCAGACAGAUCAUUAGUGCAUAAUGAGCUGAAGGACUUUGGGCAGUGAGUAGGAUAUCCUCAAUAAGCGAUAGCUUAAGAAGAUAAUAGAAGCGGCUGAAAAUCAGAUUGUCUCAGCUGCAGACAACCUUUUUUCUCCCCAGGUGAGUCCUCUUUCUCUGUGUAUGUUUGAAGUAAAGCACAGCUCAAACAAACUGGCUAAAAGAUUUUAUAACGCCCUGUGGCACCCUGACAGUUACAUCUCUGAGUCUUGAUAGUUUUCAUAUUCUGCAGAUUUCCUCCAUUAUGAGGAUGCAUGCUGGAGAUCAGAGCUAUAUGUUCACCAGGCUGCAGACAUGUGAGAACAGCUCCUACAAAGCGUCUCAGCCCUGACAAUAAUUCCAAGAUGAAAAGCCCCAUUUUUUUUUUUUGUCAGCCACUGACAAACACAAGUAUCAUAGGAAAGAGAGAGAGAGACUUUGAUGUGCUUUAGUGGUACUGAAUGAAUUACAACAGAGGACAGAAGCAGGCUUGUUGCAAACUUGGAAGACAACCCAAGACCCUUGGGAGCCAAGACAAAGAGUACGGUGUUAUCAAACAAGCGAUAAAAGGGAGGUGAUUCACUCUUGUGCAUGUGUGGAACGUACUUAUUCAUUACAACCUUGAUUAUACGCCAACUUUCCUCCCUUUCUGUCUCAUCCUGACAGCGAGCAGUUUUAUCUGAGCGCCUGGUGUAAUUUGUUUACCUGUUCUGAGCAGAGUCUCAAAUGCAACUAUUUUUUCAAUAUCCUCUGUGAUCAUGUAACUAUACAGCUCUAUUAAUAACUCUGCCCCGGCAGGGUGUUAAAAAAGUCAUGGACUGCUUAGUUGAGACGUGAUGAGGCUCUGUGACGGCACCCAGCUGGCUAAAGUUCUGCAAGGGUGGCCUCAGUGACAUCACAGCAAGUGGCGCAUGACAAACUGCCAGCACGCCAGUCGCGACCCACAAAAUAAUCUCCGACAGACGAGGACAAGGGCCAUCUUGGCUCGCACUCCCACCCGAUGCCCUUUUUACCCCAUCCUCUGCCAUCACAAGAGGCAGGCUGGGCUUUCAGAAAGGUGUCAAAUGCACAGCAUGUAUCGCCAAAAUGGAAAGUUGCUUCCUGUCAGGUAAUGACAAGUAAGUGGCAGGGCAGGAAAAAAAUUACACACAUCAACCCGGAUAUUUUCUCACCACUACUUUCUCGUGCUGUCAAUUAGUCUCAAUCAAUCCUGUCGUUUCUGUUUAGAGUUGUUAUAAAAACUCCAGUCUGUCUUCCUAUCCAUCAAUGCAUAAUAAAUACGCUCCUCAAUAUAUGUUAUCUCAACACUUCUGUCAAUUGCUGGCAGCAGCCCUCCUAAUUGUGCUGCCACACUGGACAAAAUGAGCACUGCUUCAUUUGAACACAACUGGGGGGAAUAUGAAACAAGUAUAAUCCUGGGCUUGUUUUGGUUUGGCAGGAAGUGUUGCUCCCUCUUGCCUCUCCAAAACUCAACCCUUUCAGUGUCUUCUGAUUGAAGAUAUGAGACAGAACUGGAAAAAAAAGUGACAGUGAAAGUCAUCUCCUCAAAUGAGGGGACGUGAUUGGCUUCUAACGACUCUCCUCUCGGCUGUGUUUGACUAAAGUGCGAGGUGCAGCGGCUCUUAUCAGAAAAGUAAGUCAGCCACGAUGUAUUAUUAACAGGUGAAGGCGGGCAGGGUUUGCUUGGCUAAAAAGGACUUAAGUGAUGUGGGAGCGACACUGUCAAUCUCAGCCUUCCUCUGAGAGUCAAUUAGGUGAUAAACAGGACUACAUGUCUUUGGCAGAAGGGAGACGGCUGAUAGGCUGUCCCAUGGAUGUCCUGGGGCAAGGUAAACUGACAGUGCAGCUUUGCCGUCAGGGAUGGAUGCCGAGAGUACACUGCGCAGCUGGUCCUGCCACAUAAGAGAGGAACUAUGUGUGUUUUUUAAAUGUUCGCAAGCAUGAGUGCGUGCGUGAGCGCUGCAUUAUGAGCUGGCUUUCUGGCGUUUCUCAGCUGAGCGAGCUUGAAGACACUGAAUGUGGUAAUGAUGCUCUUCAGAGAAGUAACAGUCUGGACAGUAACAGUGUUGAAGGCCGUAAUGGAGAUGAUGAUAGUGAUGGUGAUAACUAGAAUGGUCCUAGCUGUGAAUAUAAUUAGUGAGUGCUUUAUUUAAACACAGUUGUUCAUACCACCAUAAAUGUAAUUGGAUGUGUGCUGCUAAUAGUGUGCUGACAUACAGUGGGCAGACUUGAGUUUGUGAUGUUAUGUUCAUUCUACUGUUCUGUGAAUGUUUAUGAACCGUAGCAGAUAUUGCUGUGCUUUCUUUAACAUCAAUAAAAAAAAGAAGAGGGUAAAAAUGAGGAUAAAUAAAUAUAAUUACUUCCAGGAUACAACAUUUCAAGAGGGAGCGAGAAAGAAAAAAAACCUUUAUUGUUUAUAUUAAGUUUGCAUUGCUGUGUUACAAAGUAGGCCCGUGGAAAGCUUGAUUACACACUAAUUAAGUAUUUAGAAUCUCAGGUCAUCCAUAACAACCCGUUUCAUAAGAAUAGAUUAAAUGUACAGAGUUAGUGCGCUGCACAUUAUCUGUAUUGCAUUAGGAGUUUUUCUAGUUUAUAACAUUGUUUUUCACCAAUGUUUAUGAAGCCAGCGUAGUAAAAACACAAUGUUGCUCAGCAGAGGGAAUUAUUAAGUGCUUAUUUUUAAUGUGGAUAUUCAGGUCAUACACCAACAGCAGCUUUUUUACAUAUUUAAUUAAGUGUGUCUAUAUAAUUAGAUAAUAUCCUGAUAUUGUUCCCCAUAUUUUUUUUUACUCAUGUUCAAUACCGAGCUGUAACCAAAAAGGCUCAACAGAUGAAUUUUAAUGAGUGGUUAGCCAUUAUUACCCUCAUUAUUUUCCAAUUAGUAAACUGUACUGUGCAUCAGCUCAACACAGGAACAUCCACGACUGUACCGUAACAUAAAUACAUCCCAAGGCUUAUCUGUGAACAACAAAAAAGCAAUAUCAGGCUAUAAAAGAGCCUGUGAAGGACACAUGACUGCAAGUGUGUUGCGAGACAAACAGUGUAGGAGAAUUGAGAUACAAUGCAUUGCAGAGAGUAGUAGCGUUGGUUUUUGACACUAAAAGCAAUCAGAGGCUGCAAAUAUGACAAGAAAUUAACUCCGUUAAUACUGAAGAGUGAUGAAUGGUGCAAAUGUCAUUUAUAAAAAUUAAAAAAAAUUACCCUGCAUGCUUUUAUUCUUAAAAUGAUCUCUGCAUAAACUGUAAUGCAACUCCCCAAGUCUAUCAGAUAGACAUCUUCAGGUACUGGGUUGUGUAUUUCUAUUUAUUCAGUUCAAGGGAGAAAUCAGCAACUUCUUUAUCCUCAAGAAGGAGGUUGUACAUUAUGAUGAGUAGAUGUGCUGUUUCCUAUGUACAGUAGGAGCGCCACCCAUCCUCGCCUUAUGCUACUGCAACCCCCCAUUCCAAUAAACACGCCUUCCAUGGCAGCCAUUUUCAGUUGAACCACAUCUGCGUGGCGUUUGACCUAUUUUCUGCAAGCUUGCCUUGAACGUGCAAAAGGAAAAAAACUACAAACGGUGUCACUGUAUUUCAGCCAACUCAGUUAUUUUGGGGGCGAAAAGAGCCGUCUUCGGGUGCAUAUCUAGCGUGAAAUGCAAGUGGCGGAGGAGUGACAUUGUCAGCUCGUUUUCUCCACCUUGUCUGUUGGUCGCCCAGCAUAAGAGCUGGUUGGCUAGACAGGCGGGGGCUGUGGGGUCAUUGUGUGUGUAUGGAGAGAUGCGCUGGGUGAAUAACCUUCCCCGGUAACAGCUGUCAAAUCCAGCAGAGCAGAGCAGAGGACAGAGAAGCAGGCCUGACUAGACCGAGCUCAGACACAGGACUGAUAGCCAAGGAUGGCAUAGGGGGUGGGCGUGGGCUGGACUGUCUGCCAGCAUCAAGUGUUGGGCUCAAGAGCUUUUGAUGGGUGGCCACACCGAGUCUCUUUACGGGGGUCUCGGCACCCAGGCAGCUUAUUGUUAAACACACUGCUCAUCUCUUUUAUUCCCCCCAAUGCAGAUUCCAUGCACAGCAGUGCAGAGCACACAGGCCCAACAGUUUCCCGGGACGCCGCCUUUGUCGAAGUGUCAGUCGCCAACGCAGCAUCUCAGCAUGGUUCACCGCUGGGCAUGACAGGGGAUGCAGACCACAUGAAGAGGGAUUAGCACCGCACCUAUUGUCUGGAGGCACAGUGCUGUUGGAUUUGGCUGCAUGGCUAUUCAAUGACUGUAUUUCUAUUCUCUGGCACUUGACAGGGACGCUCAGUGGCCCCACUUUUGUUCCGCUGCAGUAUCAGAAUGUGUUCAUGUCAUGCCCCCAGCCGGGCCCCUUAUUAUCCCAGUUGACACGACGAGGAAAGGUGCGAUGGUAGAUUCUGUUAGUGCUGUCUGCUGCCUGACCUGCAGGUUAGGUUGUUUUUUAACGGGUUAGGAAGAAGCUUGCUCCUCAUGUAUAAUUUACUGUUGAUUCUGUUAACGCUGAAAGGAGAACAUGUUGACCGAGACUUAACCUAUGAGGGUUUGGUCAGAUUUGAUGUUAUGAAUACAGAAUUAAGGGAUCUUCGGGGGUUUGUUGGGUUUUUUUUUCCUUCAUUCAUUCUCUUUUAUCAUUCAAACCAUAUCUUGUCCAUUUUGUUCAACUUUGACCUCUUAAAAUCAAUCCGAAAAUCUUAAACCGACACGUCUCUGCUGUUGGUUGGAUUUUAUAUAAAGGUGAGUUUAGUUUAUAUUUUAUAAUAGAACGUGGAAGCCUCAUUUUAGAC
rnacentral:lncRNA from 1 species